AAGAAAGAAGUGAUAAGAGAAUCUUAGUUUGUUCAGAACGCAUAUUUACACCAUUAUGUACAUUGAGAGCACUUGAAAUUCACUCCUGUUUCUAAUUAAAAAAGCAGCAAAUAGGCUUAGCAAUCAACACUUAUUCAAAAGGAGAUAGCACGCGUAAAUUAAUUCCACUUUUCUUUUACAAUUUUCUUUCCCAAGACUAGUGAGAAAACUACAGAACAGAACAGUGGUUUUAGUAGAAUUUUCACCUCUGACUCUACUAAAUGUAGAUGGGCAAUCAAAGAGUCAACAAAAUGCAUGAUCAUUUAAACAUGACUAUCAAAUAGUAACAUGUAAAAAAUUGCAUAAGCGGUUCUUACUUGCCAAGUUGCGAAGAGCAUUCUCAGCAGCUUGUAUUUGAGCUUCCUCCCUUGUUCUUCCCAUUCCAAUUCCUAUCUUUUCAGUGCUAAAUAAUACCUGGAUAAAUGGAGCAGCAAAAUGAACUUAUUAAUCAAUUGCAAUUAGCAGAGUAACCAGUGUAUAUGGUUAACUUACUGUAUGUAACAGAUUGAAGUGCAAAAAGGAAUCCUAGGACCAGGAGAAUACACUAUGUAAGCUCUUGAACUACGGAUACACAAAGCAGGCAGCCUCAAGGUCUGUCCAUAGUUUACAUAAUUUGUAAUAUUUCAAAAAUACCAGUAAGAACGAAAGGUAACAUCUAUUUUGCGCAAGUUCCAAUGGCCCUACAAAGAAAUUAUUAAAAGUUACACUUAUUAUUGGUAAGAUUUUGCUCAAGGACAAAGGGUGUCAAAGGAGGGUGCAUGCACUGUGCACAGCGUCAGCUGCUACAUGUCACUGUCCACAGAAAUGGAACAGCAGAAACUUCCUUUCCACAACACAGCCCAUUUCAUGCAUCAGCAUAAUUAGACAUGUAAUACAUUGACAUGGCACGAGUAGGCAUGGACCCAGAAAGCUAAAUAACAUGGUAAUCCAUGUUUUCAAUGAACUUUGGGAUACAAAAAUUUGAGCAAAUUGAUCAACAUGGUUACAACUAAAAUACUAGAAUACACUAGCUUCUGUAAUAGAAGGCUUUGGAAAACUAAUAACAUAUCCUAUAGAAUGACUAAAAUUGAGAAGCACCACCAACUGUCAGCUGAAGCACUAAAUGGCAUUACUAACCUCAACAGAGAAGUGUAAGUUCUUAUUGUUUGCUACAGUAGACCUGAACUCAACCUACAAAGAAAAUUAGAGGUUCAGUGAGUAAAACGUUACCAAGCAAAAUAUCCAUGAAGUAUGGAGACCAUUCAGACUACCUUAGAACCACAACGGCGUCCUAUUUCUUGCAGUACACCGACAAAUAAGGAAGAUUGGGUUACAGUGGGGGGUCCGACUUCAGAUUGCAGAUUUUUAUUUCCAGCAGGUGCUCGGGGCAAUGAUAUCUCACCAUCUACAACAAAAGAGUGACCGAUUAGCAAUCAAGCACCAUAAGUUUCCGUAGGAUUCAUUAGAUCAAAUUUGUUGCAGCAUGGAUAUUUUGCUUCUUUUCAUCUAAAAAUCAUGCACCUUAUCAACAUACAUACAUGCAUAUGCAAAUUUGCCGUUAACAUAUAAAAGAGAAUAAGCAGUAAAUGACAAAUGUGAAUAUUAGCUUCGAAUACCCGUGAUAAUCUAUUAAGCUCCUAUUUCAAUUUAUUACAUCAAGCUAGUUUUCCUGGUUGAACCUAGUGUCACAGAAUCAUGCAGCUUCUGUAAAGAGAAAAAAAUCAGAGCAAGAUCAACAGUCAAUAAGAUUAUGAUUAUGCUGAAAAUUCUUUCAACGUUUGGGCCUUCUGAAGUUGCAAAGGGUUGUUUCUUAAAUAGAUAAAAGCGACGCAGAGAUAUCAAAUGAUGACAGCCAAGAGCUUCUCAUGGAAGUGUGAUAAAAAAGUUUCAGUAACAAGGCACAGAAGUAGAAAAUGACAAAAUGGGCAACUUGCAAAGUACAGAACUUUCUAAUUUAGGAGUGUAAGAUAGAAGUUAAUUAGUGCUGAUUCCUAAUCCUCACACCGACGCGUGAACAAACCCGAGGGAGACAAGUGGGCCGAAGGGGGCAGAAGGGGGCUUCGGCGCAAGAUGCAAGCUUUGCUAAAGAGGACAUGAAUUAUACCGAAGACCAUUUCAGACAGGUGCUGUAGUGAUACCCAGAGAUUCAAAAUUUGGGAGCACGCCAAGGCUGAAAUUCAAAGAGCAGAUGCCAAAGGAUCCAGAAGCGGGCAUGAUAUCUGAGAGUGAUUUUAAGGGACUAGUACGUAACUGUCUCGCAGAUAUCAUUCUAAUUACAGCUAAUCCAAUUGGAGGCCAAAGACGAAAAAAAGGAGAAUGCAACGGACACAAGACCUCAACCACGAACACCCAAAUUCUACCUCUCUUUUAUCUGCGAUAGGAGUAGAAGUAACUAAAGCAUAAAAUUAGCUGUAACUUAUAAUUUUCUUUGUCCACAGAACAGUCCAUCCCAUAUCAGACGACCACAAACACUCCAACCAUCGCCGGAGCCACCUCAUCGUUCACCAAUGACAGCAUCUCUAUACUGCACAACUCCGCCCCCCGCAGCACUUUUUCUCGCAGGCCGCUUCAUUGAAGGGGCUAGAAAGGCUCGAUCUCAGUCCGGAUCAAUGGCUGAGAUCUGAGAGGCCAGCCGUCCACGGUGCAGCCGUAACUUAACGGUAACUUAACGCUUCAAAGGCCAUCUCGAAGCCCGAGAGCGUUCAAGCCCUUAAUCAAAGACUGGAGCUUUGAGUUGCGAAAAGAAACCAACCGGACAGUUCCCUCACCGAUCUGCGCCCAAGAUACAGUCAGAUCGCCUACAUCAAGAAGAAUCGGGAAGGCGAACUAACCGGCGCUUGAUACGUGUCUAUGUGAUGUUCGUUAGCCAGCAGCUAGCAAUACACGCAUUCUACGUUCAACUAAUAAAAGAUCAUUGCAUCUUCUAUUAUGAAGUUUCAACAAGAGGAGAAUACAUAAAAGAAAGGAAAGAUAUGAGGGGAUACACGGAAAGUCUUAAGCAAGCAAAUUUACAAGCAAACUAGAUCACAAUACCUGCCGGACGGGUUGAUGGUGCUUGAAACUGUAUCUGUCGUUCAUCUCCAAGAUGCACCUGAAGUGAGAGAAAUACUUCAGCAGAUUGAACUAGAACAGAAACAUAUUGAAAUUUGCAGAGCAUUGAGAGAUUCCAUGAUAGAAAGCUGAUCUUAUGCAAUCGUUUGAAGAUACAAGAAAUAGAAGCUCAAAAUCGACCAUGCUCCAUAAUGAUGGAAAUUACAAACUUAUGUUUGCAUUUAAGCACUAAUAUGAAUGAAGAUUUAAACACCAAAAGGGUAGCAAGCUGGUCAACACCAUUAAAAAACAAAAUUAAAAAUAAGAGAAUUAAAAAAAAAAAAAAACAAAUUUCUGAUGACCAUGGCAAACUUUCUUCUCCCUUCAUAAAUAUAAUUUAGAGCCCUGACCGUCUAGUUGCAAGUCAUCAUUUGCAGACUUCAGGCUACUUACAAAGGGGAAGUAAUUUUUCAAGCUACUUUUAAAACUUGGCCAACAUAUUAUUAAUGGACACUGAAAUAAAAGGGAUUUUGAGAAAAAGGAACCGACCGGCCUAUUCAAUCUUCUCUCCACUUCAGAUCCACUCAUACCCUCUGACAUUGGAGCAUCUUUAUUGUUGUUAGAUGCAAUAUUUGUAUCCUGACAAAAAAUAAGCGGUUGGUUUACUUUUUUUUUUAAAAAAAAAGAAAAAGAAAAAAGAUCACUCUUAAGGUUUUACAUUGCCAAAGAAGAAACGUACCUCAGAGAUUAAAUAAUCGCCCACAUCAGGAGCAUACGUUAAAUUGACUAUCUCAUCUUCGUAAGAUAUUUCAAAUAUUUUUCGCAACAGAUUCUCAUCAAAUUCUCUGUCAAGCAAAUUACAUAUGAUAAUAGGAUUACAAUAUAAGUGAAAAACAAUAUACAUCAAAUUUCAACUCACUUGAAAAAUCCACCUCGAACAUUGCAUGCGACAUUUCUUGCGACACAGAGAACAGGAACAGGACUUGCCAUCUAGAUAGAGAGGCAAUACAAACAUAGGUGUAACUCAAGGCCUAUACAGCAUUAGUUAUGGAAACUAUAAGAAAUAACAUCAAAAUUAUGAAAACCUCAGCUUGCGGAGCAUAAUAUGGAGUAUAUGCAGGCACAACAUGAACACGAGGCUGAUCUUUAUCAUCCCAAACCUGAAGACGGUCGUCAAUAACCAUUGCCAUCUUUGGAUGGCAAGCUCCGUCUUGAAAAACAUGUUGCAGUGACUUCUUGGAACCUGCACAGAAAAGAAAUGAAAAUGGGUAUUUCAGAGUGAACGGACUAAAAACAAGAUCAGAAAUCCAUGUUACAUGGUACACUUCGACACAAGUAUUCAUGUUAGGAAGAAUUCCAUGACCCCAAAACUAUACAGUGAUUUGCCAACCACCCUACUGGUUACACAGCUCAUGCUCUGAUGUAAGCUUGUUUUACAAAUAAAAAAGAUCAAUAACAUACUUUUCUCAUGAUAUUCUUUAAUAAUCGUGCUACAAAUCAACAACAAAAAGUAGAUAAAAUAGAGAAAAGAAUCAAUCUAAGAAAUCAAUCUAACAGAUCCUCCAAUAUAAGAUUUAGAGUAAGUCAUCUAAAUCAGAUUAAUCUACAAAACUAUCAAUGUAUGCAACCACAAAAGUCAAGGCCCUGUGUCUCUUGCAGUCAUUUAAUAGCAUGCACAAAUUCCUGUAAAAGAUUAAUCGCAGAGCCUUAAAGGUAACAGAGAAUACAGGAACCAUUCUUCUCAAGGUUCUAUCCCAUAAAAAUCUUAAACUGGCUGAAGAAUUCUAAAAGAAAUUCAGUUCACUCUCAACAAAGUAUAUAAUCUAAUUAAACCAAUCCAAAUGGGACAGAAAUGUAGGCCUAGGUCAUAUCAGGCCAACAUUUUCCACCAGCAAUAAAAUCAUGAUAGGAUUGCAUAAUGAUCGACUUAAAAAGAAUUCACUAUGAUACUCCAAGGACAACGUGAAAAACAAGGCAAUAAUCUAAUGUAGUAGCAAAUUACUGUAUUCGAGAAACUAAACCAGUGAUUAAUUUUCUUGCCUGACUUUACACAUACUAUACGAUCCAAAAGUUGUUUUGUGCUUAUUAGAUGGGAUUCUGGGUCCAGAAGCCUCCAAAUCUCGAGGGCAUAGUCUCUUUCAGCCAUUGUGCAUACAUAGACCUCAAACCUUUUGCGUCCUUUUGCAGUUAAAUAGCUUCUCAGGUCCUCCCAAGCCGGUCGUAGUCGUACAAAAACACUAGUAUCACGGACCUGGGGAAUUAACAAUCUGAUCAAUACACAGCAGUAUAUAUAUAUAUAUAUAUAUAUAUAUAUAUAUAUAUAUAUAUAUAUAUAUAUAUAUAUAUAUAUAUAUAUAUAUAUAUAUAUAUUCUUUAAGAAAGUAACUGUCUGUUCAUAUUCAACAUUGUAGAAAGAAAAGUAGCUAGUGCAAAUUAAUAAUAAAUAACAACAGCUUCCCAUAAAUGCAUAUUCUCCAAGAUCACCAAGGGCAUAUAGCCAUUUAUUAAAAAGAAGAGAAAAAAAAAAUUGUAAAACCUUGUUUACGCACAUAUAAAGGAAAAAAGAAAACAUGGCAUCUUAUGAUCUCUGGUAGUUCCUGGGUGCUAACUACAUGCAUGACAAAAUAAUUCAGAAAAAAUAUGAUAAAUUAUGAUUUCUAAAGCAUGGAACUAAAUAAGCAAUAUUAUCUAUAUAUUACUUGAAAAUUUUACCAAAAGUUACAGGUGAAACAUCAGCAGUUGUAGACCUGGUAGUGCAAGCACAAAAUAUUUUGUCCUCAUGUAAACUGAAUGUUCAAAAUUCAAUAACAUAAUGUACCAUAAGUGGUGCCAGGAAUGCAUCAAGGAUAAAGCACACGUUUCCCAGUCUAAAGUAUUGUUUAAUCGUUGGAUGCAAGACCACAUAACAGGUAUUUCAAAAAUAUUAUAACAACUUGUUUGAUAAGCAGUUGCCUCCCAUAGUUUUCUCACGCUUCUCCUGAUUUUUUAUUUAGAAACAGUUUCAAACAAAAAGAUGCCAUAUACAAUCAACCCAUCAAACCUAAACUCAAAUGAAUGCAUGCAGAUCACAGAAGCAUUAGAUUUGACCUCUGGAUUGAUCCGAGUCAGAACAACAUUCCUUUCCGGUAACCUUAUAACAGGUCGAACAAUGCCCCCCUCCUGGCUUCCGUGAACCGGCAGAACUUGCUCAUUCUGAACAUUCACCACCCUCCCAUUGUCAACGACAGUAUUGGUCUCUAUGUACUGCUUCAGCAAAUCCUUAUCCUCCACAUACCGUUUGAGCUCAGCAGACAUGCCCGAAACCCUAACAGGAUCCUCCUCCCCAUCUAUCCUUCUGGAUAAAGCCUCAAUCCUGUCCUCAAAGGACUUCAUCGUGUUGGCUACGAUGAGUGUCUCAUCAAGAUCGAACACAAUGGCGAGGCAUCGAAGGUUAAGCAACCCCAAGCAAGAGGCAUAAAGUCCGGCCUGGACCGAGCAGCACCAGAAGCACGGCACCUUCUCAAUCUUGCUCGGCAUCGCUACCAAGUGGAGCUCUUCGCUCCCGAUCACCACGAUGGCGCUCUGUAUCAACUAGGAACGAAUUGCAUUAAAAAGGAUAUCAAUCGAAAGGUGAGAAUCGGGAGAUUGGAGUGCGGUGGUGACCUUGAACUCUUGGAAGCAGGAUAGGUAGAGGCGGUGGAGGGAUUGGUCGAUGGGGGACUUGGCGAGGACCUUGCACCGGACGGAGAAGGGGGAGAUGGUUUGAAGCACGGAGAGGGGCGGGCACCGCUCGCUGGGAGGGGAGAGGUAGUUGAUGCGGAUCUCGUUGCUGGGGAAGGUGAAUCCCUGGUCCUUGGCGGGGUAAACCUCAGCCUCUCCGAGGAAGUUUCCGCCAUGGAAGACCUUUGAGCUGAUCCCCGAUCGGCUCAUCGAAGAAAAGGACAAUGGACGAAGAGGAAGGGUUCAGGAAAACUAGGGUUAGGGUUUGUGAAGGGGGAUUGGGAUGGUGGAAGCUCUCACUGUGUCGUCGUCGUCUUCGUCGUCUUUUGUUUCACUCCCUCUCUCUUCGCGCGCGCCCAGUGUCGCCGACUCGGUCGAAGGGGUAGCGACUCCGACGCUUCUAACAAGUAACUACUAAACAGGGUAAACAGGGGGGCAGGGGUUAGGUAUAUAUAGACACCCGGUGAAUGUAUGUCGGAUUAGAAAUGGGGCUCCGAGCUGUCUAUAAUUACGAGACUACCCUCGUUUCCGUGGCGCGCGCGCAAAGGCCUUUCGUUGCUCGUUUUGUUGCACAGAGAAAUGGGCCCUGCCUCAAUGAUUACUUAAUGGGCCGGAUACCUGGCCUAACACCGGCCCAUUAAAACCUUAGAUUCUUGGGAGGCCGGAAGGGAACGCAUUGAGCGCCGGAGUGAUUGCACCGUCAUUGCUAACAAUGAGAGACCUUCGCUCGCACUUCAAAGCAGUUGAUCAACUUUUUAGGUGAAACAAACCGCAGUGGAACUGUGAACUGUACAAAUUGUAUUGCUUUUGUAAGUGGCGUGUUAGUUGGAAUUUCGUCUUGCUGGUAGCUGCCGCGUUUUGUACAAUUACACUGGAUUUGGAUUGUCCCCUCCCCGUAACCCCGCGAGGGAGAUUGUUGUAAUUUUAUCCUGAACUGGUAGAGAUAAAAUUGAUUAUUCAAUGUUGUAAUAGUUUCAGAAUUGGAAUGGAUUAUGGUUUGGAUGUGGUUGUUGAUAGAUAUAUUUACUAAUUUUUUAAUAUUUUCGGGCGAAUGAUAUAUUCCUGAUUUACCGAUCGUUCAUAGCACAAAUGACAAAAGGUUUAAUUGUUGGUAUCCGAGAUUCUAAAUUCAAAAUUUAAUUGCUUUACAUUUCCCGCUGAGUCUAUUUCUAAAAAAAAUGAAUAAAACAAGUAAUAUACUAUUUUUGUUAAUAGAUAGAUAAAAAUUCUAAAUCUAUUAGAUGUUAACCAAAAUACCGCUAGUGAUAGAUAAAUUGUAUUUUCUGCUCUUGACGCAGUAGUAAUGGCAAUCUCAUGACCACUACAGCUUAUCCAACUCUCAGGAGCGAGGAUUAUCUAUUAACCGGACUGACUAUCUAUUGAUGAUCAUUAUAUCAUAUUAAUUAUCAUGUUUUCUAUCACAAAUUUAUAUUUUCUUAAACAAAGAUUGGCGAAUUUAUAAUAUUAUAACACAAGUAUCCAAAUUUCACUAUCUAUGUUUGGUUUAAAGUAUUUUCAUAUAGAUACCACCUAAUAUUUUUUAGACCGGAUACAAUCAUGCAAUUAUAUUGAACUAUUGUAAGAAAUUAGAAGGUUAAAAUCGUUUUUCAAAAAAAUAUGCAAAUAUGAGUGUACGAUCUCUGACUGGCGGUGAAUGAGCCGAACACCAGCCAGCUGGGAAGGCUUGUGUUCAACUCCUUUAUGAAAUGAGUUGAACACGAGCUGGCUUAUUAAAAUAUUAACGAGUUAGCUCGUAUUCGGUUUAUUUAUUAACGAGUCAAACAUAAGUUGUCUUACGAAUAAUAAGUUAAAAAAUUAAAAAUAUAUAUAAUUAUAUAAAAAAUAAAUCUAUAAGAUUUUAUUUAUUAAAUUUUGAUCUAAAAGUUGAAACUUUAUAUAUAAAUAUUUAUUUUUUAUAAUUGAGUUGGACUUUAUAUUUAGAUUAGACUAAAAAUCAAAUAACAAAAAUCAAUAUUUUAUAUAGAGUCCGGCUGGGGUACUCUCGUUAGCACAAAGGAUUUGGUGCUAUCAAGUUUUUUACCAUUAGAUUUAACCCUCUGAUUAUUUUUACCCGUUAUAUUAUACUAUCGACCAACUACUCACUUAACCCUAGGAGCCCCAUAUCAUCCUAACCAUCCAUUUUAAAUCUAAGAGCUAAAAAAUCAAUAGCACCUAUUAUUUUGUGCUAUUGAUAGUAUUUCAGCCAAAUUCUUUUAUAUAUAUAUAUAUAAUUAUUAUCUAUAUGUAUAAAUAUAAAAUAUAUAUAUUCGAACUGUUAUCCAGCCAGAUACGAACGAGUUAACCUCAUAUCGUGUUCUGCUCGUUUAUUAAACGAAUUGAAAAUUCAGUUCGUAUUUGACUUAUUUACUAAACAAACGAUUCGGUUCCGAGCUCAUUUCGAGUCGAAUAUUAGUCGGCUCAUGAACAGCAAACUAGAUUAUCACUCUCAGUUCCGACCUUCGAUUUUUAGAAUAACACUUCUAAUAAACACCCAACUAUUUUAAACAGUAAUUAUUAAUAUUUUCAAGCAUUUCAUAUUAUUAUAUCAAAGAAACUGCACUAAUUUAUACUCUCGUAAAUUAUAUUAUUAUUAUAGGUUUUAAUGUAAUUUUGAAUUUGAUUGAUAGCAAAUUGCGCGUGGAGCACUAUUUACAUCUUACAAAAACCUACUCCUAAUAAAAAUAAAAAUAUUAUAAAAAUAGCCUCGUACGACGGCCCCUCCCAUUUAAAGACACGUGUCCUCCGAGGCCGCUGAGGCCCGACAACAAAUAUCUUCGGGCAACGUCUUGGGAACGGGCAGUAGCCGGUCGCAACGUUAUCUUCGCCCCUUCGGAGAGCACUCGACGGCAUACACGAGAGCGCCGCCAACCGGCUCUCCCGGUUGCCUCACUUUCCCAUCCCGCUCCACCGGCAACAUACUGCAUGGACCAAAUGCACCACGUCAUCCGCGAACCUCACCCCUCAACUCCACUAAAACAGAAAGCAGCUUGUGUUAACCAAUGGAAAGACUUUUUUCUUUACUGGUUCACUGAAACAGGUCUACGGAAAAUUAUCCGUUUCGCCCUUUGCAAAGCCCACUCGGUCGUAGCCCCUUUCCCUCUCCCUCUCUCUCUCUUCUCCCUGUGUUGUCUUUGAUUCCUCUCUCUCUCUUAUUCUCUCAAAUCCAAAGCUUCGCUUAGGUAUUUUCUCUCCUCUAAUCGUUUUUUUUUAUAAUUUAUUAUUGACUAAUCCAUCUCUUUUAGUUUCAUGUUUGUGAGAUCGAUUGUUGAAUUAUUAUUGUUAUUUUUUUCCAAUCAUUUAUCAUUUAAUUCGUACACACGCUUGUUUUAGCUCGGGAUUUAUCAUGUGUUUUCUUUUUUUAGGUUUUUUGUACUGUUAUUGUUGUAUUUUUUUUUUUAACUCUUUAGCUUAAGGGGGAAGCUCUCUGUUUUGUUCGAUCAAUUCUAGAUUUGAUUCUUCUGUGAGAAAUUUACUCUUUUUUCCCUAGUAUUAUGGUUAAAUUUCGUAGCUUUAAAGGUAGUAUCUGAUAAUUCUUAGAAAAUCAGAUGCUUUUACUGAUAUAUUUUACUUUUAAAACUUUUUUUUUUAAAAAUCAUGGUGUUAGGUUUUAACAAAUUUUUGUGAGAGAGCAAUUUUCCUUAAAAUAUAUUUACAUAUAGGCUACUAUUACUGAGAAAUUUUCAUACUUAUGCAUCUGGUAUUAAAAUCCAAAAAUUUUACUUUUUCUAGGUUAUUUAAACUUUUAAUCUUUUUUCCAUGCUAUGUUUAUUUACCCCAGAUGUUUAGGGACUUUUAAAAAGGUUGGCCUCAAGGAUCUAUGUAAUAACUGUAAUCAUUUAGAAUUCCUUUGGUGAUAUGGAAUAUUUUCGAAUUUAUUUUCCCAUCGAUUUAGUGGUAGGUUUUAUAUGUGAUCUAAGAGGAGCAAUCCUGCUUUUCAAUGAAGCCAAAUAUAUAUACUUUUGUCAUAUAUCUACAGUUUUGAAUUACUGUGUGUUAUUGCCUGAGAGGUUCUCUUUUUUUCUUUUUUUUUUUGUUUUUUUCUCUCUCUUAAUUUCAAUGGCAGGAACUCCAUCCUGAAAAUGAAGGGGGAGAAGGGGAAAGGUGUAGUAAGGAGAGAGACCAGGGAAGCAUUGAAACCAGUUGAUGAUAGGUUAUUCAAGUUUGAUGAUUGCUAAUUUUUGCCUUCUGUUGUUAUUUGUUUUCCGAUCUACUAAAAUAGUCUCAUGUCAGUGUUGUAUCACAAUUUCUUUUUGCCUUUGAUGACUAAGAUCUUAUUUCCUUUUAGAAGAAAGGGAUGAAAGCAUCUAAAAUGAGUCAUUGGCACUUAUUCGUAUAUACUCUCUUUCUCCAAAGCUUACGUUGUUAGUAUGAUUUUUUUUCUCUUUUAAGCGCCAAUCCAUGCAAUUGCAGGCACCGCCAGGUUCGAUACUUGUCAUGUGAUAUUUGUUAAGAAUUAGUUAUCUGUCAGCAGCAUAUUUUUGUUUGCUGUGGAUUAUCUUCAGGAUGUGCUUACUUUAGGAAGGUUCAUUUGAUAUCAAGAGUUACUUUUUCACAUUCUUUGUUCCUGUAUAAGCUUAUGAAUGGAAAUAGUGGAUAUUUCUAAUGGUAUCUUGUCGUGAUGAUUUUGAUUAACGCAUCUUAAAUAUUGGCUAGGUUGUUGUAUUUUUUCAUUGUCAAUGCAUUCCUCCUGCUGCAAGAUAUGAAUUAUUAUGUAUAUUGUUGGUUAUGUUGGUAGUUAUCAGAUUGGUAAUAUAGGCAUUAAUUUUAGUUGGUGUUUUUUGUUCCUUUGUUACAGAAAAGUUGGCAAACGCAAGGCUGCUUUGAAAGCGGAUAAGAGUAGCAAAAAAGGGACCAAGAAGGACCAAAAGGCUAAGAAGGAUCCUAACAAGCCAAAGAGGCCUGCUAGCGCCUUCUUUGUUUUCCUGUAAGUUGUCGCUUUGAUGUUAUUAUCCAAUUACUACUUUCCGAGAGAACUCCAAUUAUUGAUGCUUUCCGUAGCAUGAAAAACUCAAAUAUUAUGUGCUUCUUGGUGUUGCAGUGAGGAAUUUAGGAAGAUAUACAAGCAAGAACAUCCUAAUGUGAAAGCUGUCUCAGCUGUAAGGACUGAUAUUUAUUUUAGCAAAUUACUCGGAUUGUAAUAUUCUACUUCGAUAUUCUCGUAUUGAUUUGACAAUGGAUUUUAUUACUGAAGGUUGGAAAAGCUGGGGGAGAGAAGUGGAAGUCAAUGUCUGAUGCUGUAUGUAAUGUUAAUUUAGUGAUCGAGAACAGCUCUAAGCAAAUUGUGUCAUGACAGAAAAAUAAUUCUUGUUUCAGGAGAAAGCGCCUUAUGAAGCCAAAGCUGCAAAACGGAAGACUGAUUAUGAGAAGCAGAUGGUGGCUUACAACAAGAAACAAGUAAAUAUUAGUACAAACUUCUUGCAUGUUGACAUGUACAGUUUCAUGCUCGCUUUCUGUUAAGAUAUAUGCCUGCGUAUCUUAUUAUUCAUUUUUUUUUAUGUCCAUCCAUUUAGGAAAGCACGGCUGACGAUGAUGAUGAGGAAUCGGACAGGUCCAAGUCUGAGGUCAAUGACGAGGAUGAAGAGGAAAGUGGAGAAGUAAGAACCUUGAAACUCUUUGAUUUUUUGAGUACUCUGGUUAUCCGUUGUUUAAUUAUUCUUGUUUAGGUGGUUUUUAUCAUCCAUUCGUAGUGUUUUCAUCUAAGAUUUCAAUUCUUCCAUCAUUUUGAUAUAUAUAUAUAUAUAUAUAUAUAUAUAUAUAUAUAUAUAUAUAUAUAUAUAUAUAUAUAUUAAUGGAAUAUCUUUCAUAUUCACGGACGGUUUGAGGUAAUUUUUCUUCUUUUGUAUAUCUUAUCUGCAAAUAGCACUAGAUAUUUGCUAAGAAAGUUGUUUGUCAUCUAGUCAUGUUUCAUCUGUUAUUUGUAUAAUGUUAGAUAGAAUAGAAUCGUGCCUAUGGUGAUUCUUGUAAUUCCUUGAGACAGAUUAUAUUUUGUACUAGGAUCUUCGAAUUGGAUCGUUUGCUUUUAAGGCUUAUUGCUGCAUUUGCUUUAUUUUACUUUCGUAACUUUUAAGCUGUACUCCUCCCAGUUCUUUCAAUAGUGAGAAGCAGAUAAUUAAUUUUUGGUUGCUAUAAUCUGUUUCUACAUAUAGUUGUGGCCUGGGGUUCUCAUUAGGUAUCAUGAAUAUGAUAUUUGUUCCUCGAGCUGUAAUGUUUCUUUUUUCCCAACCUUUUUUUAGCAAAUAAUGUUGUAUCGUUUAUACAUGUGGAGAACAUCUUUUCAAUCAAAGAUGAAUGAUGUGCUCGCUUCUUUGUGUCUGCAGGAAGAGGAAGAUGAAGACGACGACUGAAACCGGCGAGGCUCGCGAGCUUUCGUGAUUACAAUUUAGUCUAAAGGCUUGUUGUAUCAGUGCUACUUAUUUUAUCUUGUGCUAUUAAACGUGUAACUGUAUUGCCAUUUGCGUGCUUCCACGGUUUCUGUAUAUCUAUUAAUAGAUGUAGAUGCUCAUUAAAUAUUAAUGGUUUGGGUGAAUUUGUUUGCUUUCUAAUGCAAUUAUCUCAAUUACAGCAAAAGCUAUUGCAUUUAUCUCGAUUACAGUAGUAGUUAUGUUUAGAAAUGGACGAAAUUAUCUCCAUUUGCUUUUAUUUUUGUUCUCAUUUGCUUUUAUGUUUAUGGCUUUAACGCGUUGUAUAAAUGUUUGAUGGAGCCUAGCUGUUUCUGCAAUCGAGUGUCCCGUAUGUGGACUUUUUCAAGUUUUAACAACAGAGAAGCGCAGUAGAAAUGACCUUCUGUAAAACUCGAUCAUGGAGUUAUAAAAAUGAAAUUUUAAAGCAUCUAUUUUUGGAUUAAGAUAAAAUACUAAUAAAGAAUCUGAAAUGUCAAAUGUCAAAUUUAAAAGUUUGAGGACGAAAGUAAAUUUUGAUUGUAAAUUAAAAGGGAUAAUGCAAUCAACCCCAAAGGGAAAAAAAAAAAAAGGAAAAAAGAAAAGAAAAAAAAAAAAAAAAAAAAAAAAGAAGAAGGAAAAGAGCUGCUUAGAGCUACUACCAAAUGCGAUAUGGGGUUUAAUUUCAAGGGGCUAAGGGCAAGAUGGGUGCGAAGCAAAUCUCUUCAACACAGCUAUAUUAUUAUGCUAAUAAAUAGGAAUAAAAUUCAUCAAAAUUUGUUACGUUUGCUCUUUAAUUAGAGCUGCGACAUUACAAGGCCGAUAUAGAAGGCUCAAAAGUGCCCAGCACGAAAUAAAGAAAAGUUACUGAAAAUUCUCCCCGUCUACUUGGGGUUGCUCACACCAACUAGAUUUAAAAUAUGCUUUUGCGGGAGAUCGGAGUUUGCAGGAACAAGUGGAAUGCUGUACCCACAAACAUCGCCGUCAGUGUCGACGGCCAUUAGCCGUGGCCGACGACCAUUCCAAAAUUCCCCAAUAUCUUGGUAGCAUUAAAGAUUAGUAACUUCAUAUAGAGGGCCUCUGUUAUACAAAUCUGAACUUGCAGCAUGGAAACCCUUGGAAUCAGCAAAUUUUGUCGAAUAUUAAACAUUUUUUCUUGAGCUGAUGCAGUACACACGGGAUCCAAGAUGUUGUACCGCAAGACCAGCUUCUUCACAUCCGGUGAAGAAAAUUGCUUCAUCUUCUUUGCCUAUCCUUCGUCGCCAACUCAUUAAAAAAGUUGGUGCCUGUAAUUGCACUUGAUUUCCUGCCAAACAUAUUUAUUAACUCAUAAAAAUUAACACGCACCGACCCCUAGCUUACGAAAGAUAUUUAGAAUACGCGAUGGAUUAAUACACAGAUUGAGCUGGAUAAAUAUAAUUUCUGCCGGGUCAGAUCUAAGCUAUUUUUUAGCAGCAAAUUUUGCAUAAAAUUGAUGCUGCAUUGAAUCUUCCCAGGGGGAAAAAAGAAAUAUUCAACGAGUCACAAUAUCAGCUACAGUUACUGAGGAUUAUAAUAGUACCUGAUAUGGUAAUAGCUCUCUUAUCAUGUGAAUUUCCAGAACCUGUAUUACUAUCUCUUGGUCUGUAUGCUUUCAGAAGAAAGCAAAGGGUUUUGAUCAAGUUUGCGUACUGUUUUACAUCUGCAGGAGAAAGGAAGAUCUUAUCACCACAUCAAGCAAGCCGCAUAAGCAUAACUGUAAUGUAAAUGGUGAAGGGAAAUUCACAUAAUAGGAUGUCGCUGGCAAUAACCAAGUCCCAAUCUGGUUCCAAAGUUGGAAAAGUGUCUCCCCAUGUGUCUGAAAUGUUCACAAUGUUAGGAAAAUAAUUACAGAAAAAUGUUGCAAAUCAAUAUCUCUUCUGCAAGUAAUUACAUCAAAAACUUCCAAUAUAUAACAGUGCACUCCAAUCCUUUGAACCUGAAAGUUUAAACUAAAAAAUAUAUCUACAAACCAUAGUGUUGCUAACUAUUUCUACUUUUACAUUUCAAAGCACUGUUUAACAAGAACAUUCUGGAAAAUUUUCAACAAUUCAGCAAUCCUUCUCUUUACAAGAAGAAAUUUGAGGAAUCUUUUGUAACUGCAUGAUCCUUCUUGCAUCAUAAAUAGUGAUGAUUUUGAACAAAUUCACCUCGUGGUUAUCUAAUUAGUGCUCACAGGCCUUAAUCACAAGAAGAGAUGUGAAGAGAACUUAGUAGUUAAUAACCUGUCAUGUUUCUUUUUCGUAAUGUUUCUAUCUUAACUAAGAGAGCCAUUGAUCAUAAUAUAAGGCCAUAAUUCUUGAGCCAUCAAGACAUGCUUAAGAAAAUUUAAAUUUUUCAAUCCAUAAGAUUGGUGACUUAAUAGUCCUUCCGAUGUGAUUCUUAAAAGUUUAGGGUGAUUAUAGUAUUGAUUUAAGACCUGGAGAGCAUCAACCAGUGGACUAAACAACAAUGGAACAAAAUGGAAUUACAUGUUAAUUUCGCGCAACAAUAGAUGGUCCACUUAGAAGGAAACUUACGCCUGACGUGAGGUAACACAUCCAACCCAUUAGCGCUGCAGUUAUAAGCUAUAUUUUCUUCUAUUUCCUUGUCAUCAUAAUCAGAGGUUGUGAUGUCGACCCCAAAAGACCUUCGCAAGAAAAUGGCCAAAGCUCCAGUUCCGCUUUAAAUAGUAAGAUAAGCCAUUUAACAUCAUGUAAAAUAAUCGGAACACAAAAUGUGCAAGUAAAAUACUUUUUCAGAAUGGCAAUCAAAUAUAAAUACAUCAUUAACUACAAAAAUAGUGUUCAUUAUAUUCAUUCACAAUACUGCAUAAAACGUAUACCAGCGUAAGACAGAUUGUUAACACCAGAUCUCUCAUUAUAAAGUCGUAAAACACAAGAACACGGCUUUACACGCCUCCAAUUAUUUGGGCAAGAUUCUUUCUCAAAUCAAGUGCUGUCAUGCAACUUCUCAUUCUCCCCUUCUUAUCUACAUACCUACUCUUUCUUAACGGUGCACAAUGUUAUAUCUACAUACCUACUCUUUCUUAGCGGUGCACAAUGUUAUAUCUACAUACCUACUCUUUCUUAGCGGUGCACAAUGUUAUUUCUGUUGGAAAUGCCAUCUAAAAUUGGUUAUAGAAGCCUUAUUGCAUGGUCAUAUGGGCGAAGCCGAACUAAAGGAGUAACCAUCAAGAAUGUUUGAUUCAAUUCUUGGUGACAUUCACAAAAAAAAGGCUUGGUUAGAGCUCUCAAUCUAAAUAAAUAUCUACGACAAAAGCAUGACGUCAACUUAUAUGGCAGAAGAUGACCAAAACUUUUGAUACUGUUCCUACCAGCCAGAAAUGAGGUAAUAUACUUUCUAAUAAAGCACUUGCCGGCAUACCUCCCCAAUUCCAAGACGCGUUGUCCAUGCAAAAGGGAUUGGUUCUGAACUAACCAUUCGGUAAACGCAAAUGUCCCAGGCCACAGUAAAUUGGCAUUUAGCUGAUGAAAUGAAAAUUCCCUUAUUUUCAGAUCCUGCAUGAUGAAGUGAAGUCACUUGCCUCCCACAUCAAUGUCAUAAAAAGAAACAAAACAUCCUAAUAAAAUGGCAAUUUAGAUACAUUGCAAUCGAUGAAGUGAAGUCACUUGCCUCCCACAUCAAUGUCAUAAAAAGAAACAAAACAUCCUAAUAAAAUGGCAAUUUAGAUACAUUGCAAUCUGAAAAUACUAUUAGUUGCAAAGGAUUGCUGUCAUUUAGCAGAAAAAUACUUGCCACUCAAAAGGAAUGCAAUAAAACUAAGUGUAAGCAUGUCUGAUCAAACCAUAACAUCUAUCUUAAUCCAACCUGAGAACUGAGAGACAGAAAAAGCAAACAAAUCAAAAUACACAAGCAUUAAAGCAGCAUCAGGUUUGUCUAAUUAGCAGUGUACUUCGAAACUCGGUUCCCUUACAGUUUGCAACACUAAACUUUAGGGAUAUUUUCACUUUCUACAGUAUAUUUUUUGUCGAACCGUACAUUGGAUCUUAAAUUUUAUAGUAGACCCUACACUCAUACUAACAAGUCAUUGAUGAAGUCAAAUACAUUUAAUGGAACUGUGAAUUUCAGUCUAAAAAUCCAUAAUUCGAGCUACUAAUCUUUCGGAUUCCGAUCGAGAGAGUAAUAUUCACAACGAAACAUCUAAAUUAUGAAGUCUCUAUGAAUCCCUCGCUUUGUUUAUUCUCUCGAUUUCUCCAUAAAUUCGCCAAAUCAAGUCUCAUAGUAAUUAGACAAAAUACUAAGUUUUCACUAAAAAAAAAUUAACCUUUAAUUAAUUAAGUGUAGGAGUUACUAUAAUUGCUAAAUCUUAAUGGCUUAUUUAGCCAUAAAUUAAUAAUAAAUGUAAAUAAAAUAAAAUAAACACUCUUAAAACUGUAACUAAAACAUGAAUCUUAAUUUCAAAGAUAAAUGAUAAGAUCUACAGAGAACUACAAGAGAGUACAUACCAUUCCAGGAAACGCAUGGGUUCUCUCCACAUGGAGUUGUUGUUGCUCAUCCUCUCCUUUACUCAACACACAUACAUAUAUAUUUAUAUUCACCGAUUAUUAACAAUGAUAAAAAAAGGAAGAGAAGGGCAUUUUGGGAAGAGGAUAAUUUGUUACCGUCGCCGUCGCUGUCGCCGUCGCCGUGGAAGAGGGAGGAGGGGGAGAACAGAGCGGCGUCCAUUUUUGGUCUCGAUCCGAUCGUUGACGCCGUUUAAACGGCGCCGUUUGAGAGAGAGAGAGAGAGAGAGAGAACGUCUGAAUCGAACCCCGACACGAGGCCAGGGCGUGUUUUCGGAGUCGGGCCGCGGUUCGGGUCGCACCAAUAUCCGACCCGGUCAGGUUGGGUCUUACUAUUUUCUUUUCUUUUAUUUUUUUCCGUUUGUAUUUCGUGUAGAUGCUGGUCACUAGUCGGUUAUGCGUGCACAUUUUUUUUUCACGUCUGGGAGUCAAACUCAUAACUUACAUUUCACAUAUGCAUGAAAAAAAAAAAAAAAAAAAAUUAAGGCUUAGUUUGGUAUUGAGAUCUAUCUAAUGCUAUUAGAUAAAAUAGAGUUGAGAAAAAAAUAUAUAGGGAUAUUUUUUCAAGUAUUUUAUCACUGUAUGUAACACAAUUUUUUCGCAAUCCCAAACGAAGUCUGGGAUUGUAAGGAAAUUGCGUUACGUGCGGUGAGAAAUAAUGAUAAAAAAAUAUCUUAUUUAUUUCCGUACGCGCUCCGCAUAUUGCGGUUAGUCAGUUACGAUAUAUUUUCUACGAUCUCAUCGAAGAACGCUAAAGUAUAUCUCUAUAUAUUUUUUCUCAAUUUUAUUUUAUUAUAUUUAAUAGUAUUUGAUAAAUCUCAAUACAGAACUAAGCCUAACACUUGUGUAUAUAACUCACUGGGGGAGCACCAAUGGGCUUAAUGCUUUACAGUGCGGAAAUAUCACAACAUUAAUCACUAAAACUUAACGGCACCACCAAUGUUAAAUUUUCAAACGUUUCUACAGAGAAUGUAAUAAAAGUCGCAAAUACUUUUAAGUGUCCUUCGGGCACCGAUGUGGGGUUGGACAAAAUUUAUUAUAAGCCUUGCAAGUAUACAGGUGGUUUGUUGAGAAAAAGUUUGCCUUUUGACCUAUGUUAUUUAGCUUUUCAAUCAAAGUAGGCAAAAAAAAAAAAAAAAAAAAAAAAAAAAAAAAGAUCUUAAAUUUUCUGUUUGCAUUAAAUUUUGAUCUUUGUUUUAAUUGCAUCAGUCAUUAAAAUCAUACGGUCAAGUUUCUAUAGAAGAUAAAAGUUAUCUUAAUUCUAGAAAUGGCCAACCCGUUGAUUUACGAAAUUUUUAAGAUGGUAUAUAUAGUAAUUGAGCUUGUGAUAGUUGUUAAAUAAAAUUAGAUAGAGUUUGACAAAUAAUUUUGUUUGAAACAUCAAUUAAAAACCGAAAAACAAAAGCUUCAGAAUCAGUUACAGCCUCACGAGCUUCAUUCAAAUCAAAGCAAACUCAAGUGGGCAAUCCGGUAUGGAGAGUCAUUUCAAAUAUAGAAAAAAAACAAAACAAAAGAAGAUGAAGCGUACGACAUCAGAGAAGCCAUUAUUUAUUCCCAUAUUCCAGAGAGAAAAAAAAAAACAAGGGAAAAUAAAAGAGAAAGAGAGUCAUCAGAUAAAAAAUAAAAAAUUUAAGAUGUGAUAGUCACGUUACUGAUGCAAUGAUUUCAAUCAAUUACGUUUAUUUUUUAGAAUUCAAAAAAAUCUAAACCACAUUAGUCGUAUAAGUGGUAUAGUGUCUCCGAUUAAUUAAAUUGCUUUUCAAAAAUUUAUCAAUUUUAUUAUAAUUUUUAGAAAAAUAUUUGUAUUGUAUAUUUCUCUCAAAACAAAAAAAUGUGAUUGCUAGAUAUAAAUAAUAUGGUGAAACUGCUACACAGUGGACUUAUUUUUCGAAGAUUUACUGGUUUCAUCAUAAUUUUUAAAAACAUUUUUAGUUAAACUAAAAUUUUAUCUCAAAUUUCACUGUUUCUAUCCUAAUUUUUUAAAACAUAUAUUUAUUAUAUUUUUAUUUAAUAAAAUUUUGAGAUAUUAAUAACUAGGUAUAACUACUAUGCAUAGUAGACUUUCUGGCCCAACAAUAUCCUAUUAAAUUGAAUGAAUCAUUGAAAAUGGGCGGCAAGCGAAAUAUGCAGGCAAUUAUGAGGAGGCAUUUACUGGACAAGACAGGUGAAGUCAGACCGGCCUUUCCCACUCCCAUUAAAAGCGUAGUGGACAACGAGAUGGGACAGUUUGGUUAACCCACUCUACAUUAAAUUAUCUAUGCUCAAAUCUACGGAUAGUCCUAUUUUCUUUUUUUUUUUCAAAAAAACUAAUAAUAAGAUGCCCAUUUUAUUUAUAAAAUGAUAUGGAGUUAACAAAAUAGACGAAGUCAGUUAAAGCCUCAAGAAAAAAAAAAAAAAACAAAAACAAAACACCCAAAAAAAAAUAUAGAGAGAGAGAGAGAGAGAGAGAGAGAGGGGGGGAAGGAAAGAAGGGGAAGAAGGGUUAAGCUAUAAGUAUAUAAUUAAUAGUAUUGUUCUAAUCAAUUAUGUGCGAAUGAAUGUAUACGGUGAAGAAUUUGGGUUGUGUUUGAGUCUCGUCCCCAAAACAUAACACUAUUUCUUUCAAGCCAUAUUAUCCGCUAUGUAGCUGAAAGUUAGAUGAGUUAACUUAUUCGUUAUCAAUCUUACUGCAAUAUUUCUUUCAAAUCCUUGUUAUAUCAUACUCAGAUAACAUGAUAGAUAAGUUAUUUGACAUAUAAAAAGAAAAAUAUCGAAAGUAGAGAUAUCUUGAAAAUAAGUAGUUGCAGGACUCAAUUUCAUUGGCACAAAUUCCUUUAUUAUAAUUUUAUAAUUUUUGUACAUCGAGCAAUUUUUUUUUCCUUUUGUUUCACCCGUUUUGUUGGUUUACGAAUUUAAAAUUAUAAUAUUAUGAUUUUUUUUGUGUUGUAGACUUAAUUUUUUAAAUAAAAAAAAUUACAGGGUAAUUUCAGAAAGGAUUAGAAUUCUAGCAAGCGUUCAUACAUUUUAAUCCAUUUAUAAUUUUUAUAAAAUAUAAAAUAAUAAUUUUAAAUAUCUUUUCAUCCAAUUUGGACUGUAGAUAUAUAAAUUUUAGACCGUUCGGAUGAACAAAUGUGUGGCUAGGAUAAGAGUAGUUACAGUUAAGUUGAUAAUACAACCUAGGAUUGAGUGGGGAAGGUUAGUGGAAUAGUAUAAUCUAACGGAUAAAAAUAAUUAAAGGGUAGAUUUAAUAGUAAAAAAUUUAUGAAUACAAAAGAUUUUAUACUCAUAAAAAUAUAAUAAUCGAACUUUCUCUCUCUCUCUCUCUCUAUAUAUAUAUAUAUAUAUAUAUAUCUUAAAAUUUAUUUGUUUCAACAUAAAAUUACAAACAAUAUUUUUUCAUAAAAAAAAUCAGGAAGGUCCAUGAUGGGCCUCUCUCUCUAUAUAUUUAAAUAUUAAUAUUUACUUAUAUAUAUUAUUUAUAAAUAUAUAGUAAUUUAUUUUGUAAUAUUAAAUAUAUACUAUUAUAUAUUAUAUUACAUACUAAAUUAUUAUAUAAUAUAUAUUUUAUUUAUAAAUAUAAAUUAUAAUAUUAAUAUAUAUAAUAUAAUAAUUAUUCUAUAUUAAUAAUAUAUAAUAUAUAGAAUAACAGAAAGUAUAUAUAAUAAUUUUUUAUUUAUACAUAUAUUUUUCGACCAAACAAAAGUAUCGGAAAUUUUUUUUCUAUAAAUUAAAUAAUAGAGAACGUAAGAUUUAAGUUUUUUCAAAAAUAUUUUUUUAACCAAAAUUUUUUUCUAAUUUUAUUCCAAACCAUACAAGUCCUGAGUUAAUUUUUUUUUUAUAUAAAAAAUAAUUUUUCUAUUUAUUUCUCGCAGAACUACUCGUGGCCUCGUUAUGUAUUCUAUCGUUGAAUUUAUUAUUUAUUAACUCCCGUUUUUUGGCGCAGCUGCGGAUCCGUCAGAAGAUGUGAUGGUUCCUCUUGACUCUGUGUCAAUUUUUAAACUUACAAAUUACUGACUCUUGACUCUGUGUCAUUUUUUAAACUAACAAAUUACCGAACCUGAGUGGUGUUGUUGUCUAAAAAUUUAAUAAUUAAUAUAUAAAUAUUUUAAAUUUUAAUUUAAUUAUUUUAUAGUUUUCUAUAAGUUUAUAUUUUUUAAAAAUAAACAAACUAUGUAACUUCAAAACGUUCUCUCUAAAUCAUAUAUAUAUAAUUUUGGAAGCAUUGUUCCAAUUGAACCAAAUGAUGCCACGUGGCGCAUUUACAAAAAAAGUUUCAAUGUGCCACGUGACAUAUAUAUAUAUAUAUAUAUAGAGUCUGGCUACUAUACUAUUGAUAGUAUCAAACUCUUUGUACUAUUGAGUUUUCUACCAUUAGAUCCACCCUCUGAUUAUUUCCACCCGUUAGAUUAUACUAUUAAACCAACCACCCACUCAACCCUAGGGGCCCACUAUCAUUCUAACCGCACAUCUUUUCAUCCAACGGUCAAAAACUCAAUAGUACCAAGAGCUUGCUACUAUUGAUAGUAUAGUAGCAUAAUUCUAUAGAUAUAUAUAUAUAUAUAUCAUAAUAGUUAUAUAUAUCAUAACCAACUAUUUUAAUUAAAUUAUUAUACUAAUAUUUAAGUAAUUAGAGGAAAUCAUAACCAACUAUUUUAAUUAAAUUAUUAUACAAAUAUUUAAGUAAUUAGAGGAAAUCAUAACCAACUAUUUUAUUUAAAUUGUUAUAAAAAUAUUUAAGUAAUUAGAGGGAAUCAUAACCAACUAUUUUAAUUAAAUUAUUAUGCAAAUAUUUAAGUAAUUAGAGAAAAUCAUAACCAUACAUACCAAAUUAAUAUAUAACUAUUUUAAUUAAAUUAUUAUACAAAUAUUUAAAUAAUUAGAAGAAAUCAUAACCAUACAUACCAAAUUAUUUAAAUAUUGUAAAAUUUGGUCUUCUUUUUUAUAUAUUUUUUUUAUAUAUAAUAGCUUUACUUAUUUUUAAAUAUUAAAAUAAUAUAAGUAAUAAUUUUUUUUUCCUUAACUGCACAAUAGUUAUUUUUUUUCUUAACUACACAACAGUUAUUUUUUUUCCUUAACUGAACAACAGUUAUUUUUUUUUUUCCCUUCUUUCUUUGAUUGAGGCCUAUUCAACUUUUAUAAUUAUCUCUCUAUUUCUCUUUGGGGUUUAGGUUUCUAACGAUCUCUCGCGCGUUUUACUUUUACCCAUUGCAGGAUGAUGCGAGCGGGGCGCGUCAUAGGAAAGAGGCGGAGGCGGCGUGAAAAUUGCAGGUGUUUGUUUUAAUUUUAUUUAAUUUUUUGGAUUAUAUAUAUAUAUAUAUAUAUAUAUAUAUAUAUAUAUAUAUACAACUAUUUUAAUUAAAUUAUUAUACAAAUAUUUAAAUAAUUAGAAGAAAUCAUAACCAUACAUACCAAAUUAUUUUGAUAUUGUAAAAUUUGGUCUUCUUUUUUAUAUUUUUUUUUUAUAUAUAAUAGCUUUACUUAUUUUUAAAUAUUAAAAUAAUAAAAGUAAUAAUUUUUUUUUUUUCCUUAACUGCACAAUAGUUAUUUUUUUUCUUAUUUUUGUUCCCUUCUUUCUUUGAUUGAGGGCUAUUCAACUUUUAUAGUUAAGUUACAAAUUUUUUAUCUUAAAAUUAUAAUUUAUUGAUUUAUUACAAGAAAAUGCCAUUAUUUUCUCAAUGUUAUUAUUCAUAUGUAUGAUAGGUGGAGGCAGACUUAUUUUUCAUCUUUAUGCACAAUCUUUCUACAAAAUGUAAGUUUAUUUUCCAUCUUUAUGCACAAUCUUUCUACAAAAUGUAAGUUUAUUUCAAAAUUCGAAAAUAAUUACGUUUAAUGAUUUGGUCUGUUUGUAAUGUAUAUAUUAUCUUCUUUUUUUUUCAGGAUAUAUACCAGUCGCUUUGGACUUCGUCAUAGUAUUGAAAAUUUCGGAGCGCAUAAAUAUUUGCCCCUAUCGCAAGAAAUGCUCAAUAAUUACUUUUGGGAGGUAUGUUUGAUAUUUAUAUUUAAAUUUUUGAUUGAUUUGUUGAAAAUAAUCGAUAUACAUACAUGACUAAUUAUUCACAAUAAUAAUUAUUUUUUAGUUUAAAAGAAUCAUAAUAUGUAUCAUGCUUCCCAAGUUCUAAAAAAUUACUUUUCAAAUUUAGUCACUUUAAAUCCUUCAAAAAAUAACUUUACAGAAUUAGUCAUUAAGAAUUUGAAAUAAAAUUAAUUUUCUUCGCCAUUUCAAUAUUGUGUAUUAAAAAAUAUAUAAAUAAUAAUUAUGUUAAAUUUUUAAUGGAUUUGAACUUUUUUACUUUUUCAUUUUAAAAUCUUUUCAUUUUAAAUUAUUUACUUACAAUCUAUUAGUAUAUCAUGAUAGUAUUUAUUUUAAUUUGAUUCAAUAAUUUUUCUAAUAAAAGCUUAAUAUGUAAAAAUUAAUAUAUAUUAUAUAAAAAUUGUAAUAAAAAUAUAUUAGAAAAAUUUAAUAUGUAAAAAUUAAUAUAUAUUAUAUAAAAAAUGUAAUUAAAAGAUAAAUUUAAAAUCCGUGCAUUGCACGGGUUAGUUGCUAGUAAUAAUAAUUUUACUUACGGAAGAGUUUAGUGAAAAUUAUAUUAAAUGUGCACUCAUAAAUAUUUUAUACUUUUCCCUAUUAAUAUUAUAGUACCAACCAUCUUUAAUUGUCAUAAAUAAUAAAAAAAUUGAUAAUUAAUAUUUAAGAUCUUGAAUACGAAAUCAAGUUACUUCACAUUUUUAACUAUAUUUAUUCUUAAAAAUUUAACAAAUAAAUAAUAUACUAUCUUUUUUAUUGAAAAAGUGAUAUUAUAAUAAAAGGGCAAUUGCUUAUAUACUCCUGAAAAGUUUCCGACUUUCCGAUUUAUCCCUCUUAGAAGGCUAAUAUUUAAAAUACCCUUCCUACGUUUCAACCUAUUUUUAAUAUACUCCUAAAGUUAAAAUCUGUUAAUGAACUCUAUCAUCUCUGUAAAAUUACUAUUUUACCCUUUCAAAUAUACCCUUUCACCAUCACUUACUUUCUUAUUUGCCCUUAAAAUCAGGGAUACAAAAACUAGUUUGACUUUUGGUCUUUUUCAAUAUACCUCUCUAUUGUCACCAAUAUUUUUCAUUUGCGCUUAAGUUGAGGACAAAAUUGGUAUUUUAAUUUUGUUUAACUGUGAUAGAUAUUUAAUUCACGUUUAACUCAAAUUAACUUAACAGGAGAUAACAAUGGAGGUAUUUUAUAAUAAUGGUGGAACAUAUGAGGAUCAUUUUAGAGAGAAAAAAAAAUAAAAAUAAAUUAAAUAUUUUCAAACAUACGAGAGAUAUAUAAGCAAUUAUUUCUAUAAUAAAAUAGGCCCGUACAUAAUUAAUGACACGGGUAAAUAUAGACAAGAUUUAUAUUGGGCGUUGGUACAAGUGCAAGGAGUUAAUUUGCCCUAUUAAAAGCAAUCAUAAUCUAUAUUUCCAUCGACAUGUUUCCUUAUCAAAAUUAAAAUAAAAAAAAUACUUGCACACUCAAAAAUAGAUAUAUAAUAUACACUUCAUUUAUAUAGAGUGGGAUAAAUUUACUAAACAUAUUGAAGAAUAGAUGAAAUGUAUAUUAUAAAAUUAAUAAAUUUAUUUGAAAAAUAUUUUUAAUUAAAUUAUUUGAUAAAAUUUUAAAUUUUAAUUAUUAUCGAUAUUAAGUACAGGCACGCAGUUACAAAAGAUGUUAAAUCUCAAAGAAUCUCCGCACCAAAUAAAAAUAUCAGGUACAAGUUGAGGAUUAAUAAUGCAAUAAACCCCCGUACAACAAACUUUGCGUUAGAGGAGUAUAAACGCAAUUUCCCGUAUUUAAAGGGACAUAAAUGCAAAUAGACCGUUCAUCGCUCUCACUUCACUCUCGGUCUCAAAAGGAAAUGGACUCCUCUCGCCUACCCUCCGCUAACUCGAACCCGUCUCCUCUCUCGCGCCUCUCCGUCCUCUGCUCCACAAUUUCGGGUCGCAACGUAUCGGAUCGGGCUCCGACACCGCGGCUCCCAUUUCUAGGGUUUCGGAGGUCGCCGUCGUCGUCCUCGGAGGAGGAGGAGGAGCGUUUGGGAGCGAUGGUGGGCCCGGGUCGGCCGCAGUUCGUGCUCUUCGGCUCCUCCAUCGUGCAAUACAGCUUCAGCAAUGGCGGAUGGGGCGCCACGCUCGCCGACCUUUACUCUCGCAAGGUAUAAUUCGCUUCCAUUUUGAUGUUUCAAUUGUUGUUGUUGUUGUUGUUGUUGUUGUUGUUUUUGUUGUUGCUGUCGCAUGGUUAUUAUGUUGUUCUUGUUGAUGGUGAUGGCGAUGAUGAUGAUGAUGAUGAUGAUGAUGAGGAUUAGGAUGAGGAUGCAUUGGAUUGGAUCUGAGAAAUUUCGUUUUCGAGUUUAGUUGGGUUUCCUAUUCUCUGAUCUUACUGCAUAUUUUUUUUGUGAGCAUUUGUUUGGGGGAAAAAAGAGUUUCAGAAUCACCUGAACCUUGCUUUGAUUGCAGUUCACUGUUUGAACUUUUGAAUCUUGAAAUUUACCACUCAAACAUCAAUUUUGUCGUACCCACCACUGCUCGUCACAGUGGCUUGCAAUAGUGGUGGUACUCUAUGGAAUGCUCUGAAGACCCGGGUUCGAACCCAGGAAUCUGCACAUCAUGGUGGGGUUUAUGGGGGGGUGGGGGUGGGGGUGUUUAGGGUGCUUGCGGCAAGAAACUGAAAAGAAAACACACCAUUAAUUUUGCAGCAGUCCAGUACACAGCCCUGUCUUUGCCCAUUUUGCCAGAUGUCUGUUAGUCAUGUGAUCACCUGCGAGUAGUAGUUUUUUUUUUGGGUUAAAUGACCAGCUACGGAGGAAGCAAGCACCACAACUGCCAUAAUUUGAAGGUAAAUGAGGACACAACUUACUUUAUCUAACCUUUCAAAAUUUUAAUUUUACUAUACAACCUUUCAAUUUAUUUGAUUUGUAUAGGUCAACGGUACUUUGAAUUCAAAAUUUAAGCUAAUUACUUAUUUUAAAAAAUUUGUAGUUGCGAGAAUUGCAUGAAGUAUACUAACUAAAUUUGUAAAGAUAAACGACGCAUGUAAAUUUUGAAGUUAAAGAGCCAUUGACUAACUUAAAUCAAAUAAAUUAAAACGUUGGAUAGUAAAAUAAAAAUUUUGAAAGGUUGCGUGGCCGGUUCGCAAUGGUCCAUAGUUCAAGUAAGUUAUGUACAUUUUUACCUAAUUUGAAACCGAACUGCCAUUAAGCCAUGUGGAAUGGUACAUACUAAAAAAUUGAUCAAACAGAUUGUAUAUUUUCGAUUGGAUUUCUGAAUUAACUCGCAUAAUCGUUCUGCUACGUUUAGAGUGGUUACAUUGUGCUGCGAUUUUGCUGCAAUUUGGUACAGGCUGAUAUACUGGUGCGAGGUUAUACUGGUUGGAACUCAAGACGUGCUCUUCAGGUCAUUGACAAAAUUUUUCCCAAGGUAUGACUCAUAUUUUCUUCAACAUGUGAUUGACAAGAAUACUAAUCUCCUUUCUUUUCUUCCAACCAUCUGAUUUCAUGUCGGUAAGGUUUGCACUGGAGCUUGAAAUAAGAGAACUUUACCUUUCCAGCCAGCUUUUCUUAUUCUUGUGUCAUCCUCUGCCUUUGUGAUUCGUUUAUAAUAUGUUCAUGAUAACAAACUAUUUGCAGUGUCCUGUCCAUCUCAUUUAACUGAAAAUUCAUUCUUUUUCUAUUCAAACUGAAACUUUAUUAUAUAGUUCUUAUCCUUUUCAACCAUGUGACACCUUCCAAUGGUUUCAAAGUGCGUGUAUUUUUCUUGUGCUGAUUCAAUGUAAUUCUGAAUGCCUGAAACUCACAAGAUUAAGUUGCCUAGUUAAAGAGUAUCAUGGAUAAUAAUCAGUGAAAAAACUUUAUUGCUGGCGCAUACCUUGCUAAGUUGGCAAAUAAGAGACCAUUUAUUCCUCCUUAUUGAUCUUAUUGUAAAAUUUCCUAUGUGCAUGUUGUUAGAAUUCAAUCACCAGUGUCGGACAUCGUAGGUGGUAGAUUGUUAUCAUGAUUUCGCUGAUAUCCAUCUAUUGCUACUAUUAUUUGCCCCCUGUUGAUUUGUCUUUUUACAGUUAGCCGUAGAUUUUCUUAUGCUAUCAAACCUUUUCUUUUGAUUUUCAAGAAAUCGUUUUGUGAUCGUACAAAAUUUUAUGUUAUGCCCUUUCAUUUAUCGUAGGAUGCACCUGUGCAACCUUCACUGGUAAUAGUUUAUUUUGGUGGCAAUGAUUCAAUGGGACCUCAUCCCUCAGGCCUUGGCCCUCAUGUGCCACUUCCAGAAUAUGUAGAGAACAUGAGAGCAAUUGCUAAUCACCUGAAGGUAUUUGCAUUAAAUUAAUCCUCUUGACUAUUUCUUAACAUGCUUCUGUAUUGAUCUGCUGACAUGAGAGCUUGUGCAUUCAGAGUCUAUCUGAUAACAUACGCAUCAUAUUCCUUACUUGCCCGCCCCUCAAUGAGGAAAUGCUUCGCAAGACCAGCAGGUACAAGUCGAUGCUUUCCUUCAAAUUUUCUUCUUUUCUUGUCUUCUAGAUUCAAAUUAAAAUUUUGAAAAACUUAAUUUAUUUUACUGGAAUCCAGUGCUGCUCUCAGUGAGAUAGUACGCACAAAUGAAACCUGUAGAAGAUAUUCUGACGCUUGCAUAGAACUGUGCAAGGAGAUGGGAAUCAAGGUUAUUGAUCUUUGGACUGCUAUACAGAAGCGCGACAACUGGGAUACUGCCUGCUUUAUGUAAGAUUUUCCUCCUUAUACCAUUCAUUGAGCAAGCUGUUUUGAACUUUGGAUGCUUCAGUUGGUCCGCUUUUUUUCAUUCUAUAUUUUCCCUUUACGACAAUUUCUUCUUGGGAAUUUAUACAUUUAUCUCUUAUCAGUUGAUAAUCCAAUUUUAUAUUCAUGAAUGUAGCAUUAGUUUUGAGUGCAUCUGCUUUAACACUUUUUUAAAGGUGGAUUUAGAUAUAUAAAGUAUAUCUUUAUGUAUGCUUAUUCCUACAAAAUCUGAACUAUGGUAAUAUCUAUUCAGAGCCUUAUUUCUUGCGUAUGUACUUCAUUUUUACCAACAAGAUUGCCCCUCUUUCAAACACUUUUUCGAACAAACGACUUCCUUUCCUGCACUGAUGUCUCUUCAACUUUAGAUGAAGGUUUUUUUUUUUUUUGGCAAGAAAUUAGACUUUCAAGAAACACGUACGGAAAUUUGCAUUUUCAAGUGUAUAUCUUUAAGCAAAUGAUUUUGCAAGAAUAUAUUUGGUGAAACCCUCACUUGAAAUUGCUAAUAUAAUUUUGAUCUUUUAGAAGUACGCUCUAGGUUUCUUCUAGUGUUGUUUGUCAGCUGUCUUUGCAUGAAAUUGUGCCCCUUGCACGACACCGCAUUGCACUAACAACAGUUCUAUUUUCAGCGAUGGCAUUCAUUUCUCAUCAGAAGGGAGCGAAAUUGUCGUGGGAGAGAUUCUGAAAGUCAUCAAAGAAGCAGAGUGGGAGCCCUCUCUAUACUGGAAGUCCAUGCCAACCGAGUUUGGGGAGGAUUCGCCUUACGAUCUCGUAGCUUCUGAUGGGAAAUCCACCGUUAACCCUUCCGGAUGGACUUACUACAGGAAAAUCCAAUGGGACUAGAAUGUUCUAUGAACACCCAAUAAUUAUGGCUCCGUGGAAGUGGACUUUAAAGUAUGGUAGAUCUUAUUAACUGAAUUUAGCUGGAAGAGGGUCCUACACAUCUCAUGCACUCAGUAGUCUCAGGCUCAAAUGGAUGCAUAAUCCCUGCCUAUUCGGGUAUUGUGACAUGGUCCUUGUACCGUUCAAUUAAAUGCUUUAGUCUUUGAACUUUCUCUUAUUAUUGCAACUUCAUUCCUGAUUGUAAAAGCUUUAAAAAAAGGUCCCCUAUUUUUUCGUACAGAGUAUAUCUUACCCCAUUUGCUGUAACAGAUGGCCUUUUCUAGCUUCUCGAAACACGAUUUAAAAGGUCAUUUUAGCUUAUUCUUUUGAUGACAAUUGAGAAUGCAACUCAUAUUAUAUGAAAGUUCAGGGUAAAGUAUUUACUGAGAAGCUCGGGAUCACGACGCAACAUCGGGAUAGCACGUGUAGUAACCAUACAUUUAAAUUAAUCGUGACCUUUUGUUCGAUCACGAAGUUAAAUGGCCACUUUUUUUUUUUAUUAUUUGAUGACAAUUUGAGGGUUACUAUAUUGUACGCCAUGCGGUGCUCUGUUAGUUGAGCCUAUUCAAAGAUAUCUGUCAAGUUUGUUUAAUUUGGGUGAUACAUCUUUUUGCUUUUUUUCUAUCAGAAAAUAUUAGUGCCUCCAUAUUUGGAUCAUCAAGCUGUCAAAAGUUAAUAGUUUUACUAUUUCUUUGCAUCAAAAAGAAAGCUUUUUUUUUUUUUUCUAAAAAAAAAAGAAAGCUAUUUUAAAGUGCUGUUGCCGAGUUGGUGAGUUACGUGAACUCCGCUCUGUACGCUGUACCUCUAUGGGUAGGUUUGUCGACGAGCUGAACACAAGCAAGCUUGGGCCGUGUUCGGCUUGUUUAGAACAAGAGUCGGCUCAUUAUAAUAUCGAGUCGAAAAAUUUAGCUCGUAUUUAACUUUUUAAUAAAUGAGCCGAAUAUAAGUUGGCUCAUGAGUUGACCAACGAACAAUAAGUUAAAUGAAUUAUAUUGGAUAUAUAUAAAAAAUAAGUUUAUAAAAUUUUACUCAUUAAACUUUGAUUUAAUAGUUGAAACUUUAUAUAUAAGUAAAUAAAUUUUUUUAUAAUUGAUCUUGGCUUUAUAUUUUUUUGCUAAAAAUUAAAUAAUAAAAAUAUAUAUAAUUAUUUAGUUAUAUACAUAAAUAUAUAUAAAUAUAAAUUAAAUAAAUUAUAUAAAUAUAAAAUAUAUGUAUUCGAGUUGUUACCAAGCCGAACACGAAUAAAGCUGAUACUGGCUCAUGUUUAGUUCGCUUAUUAAAUGAGCUGAAAAAUUUAGCCAGUGUUCGACUCGUUUGUUAAACGAGCAAUUUAAUUUCGAGCUCAUUUCGAAUCUAACACGAGCUGACCGGCGAACAACAAACUGGAAUGGCGUCCCUACCUAUGGGGCCUAAGUUGUAAACCCACGCAUCAACUAAUUUGUGAGUGCGAGAUGGAGGGAUCUUAAUGAGUUCCGUACUGGAACAAACACAUGUGCUAGCAACUCUCUUGAAAUCUCCAUCUCCCAGUUCCAGCACAAGCUGACUGCUCUUAGCCAAACAGGCAAUAAAGCAAUUUAAACUGUGUCCAGUCAAAAUGAGUAGGCAUUUAAGUGAUAGAUAUGGGCCAGCUGCAAUUUAUGUGACCCAUGAGAGAGAGGGAGUUUUUAUUUUUUUUAAUUUUUUCCCGUCCCCUCCUUUAUUGUACGUACGUGUGUAUAAAUUAAUCUCACAUGUUUCACAUGUUGGUGGUACACGCGACCCAAUAGCUAUCCUGAACGAAUGGAUGCGCUGAUCGCUGGAGUACAAGAGGCACGGAAUCACUCAACACAUCUUUUGCUCCUCUCCCUUUUUUUCCCUCUUUUUCCAUUUUUUUUUCUUAAUAUAUUUAUAUUUAUAUAGUUUGAAAGGUAAUGCGUACGAGCAAAAACUGAACACUACAAGUUAUAUUAUCAAAAGUAACAUUAUACCCAUCUACAAAAGUAGAUGACCAUAGGAUUUGAUACUGAAAUCAUCAUCUCAUUAAGAGAUUUCUCAUUAAUCGCAAAACGAUGGGCUCAGAUUCAAUCACAUGAUCCAUUACUCACUCCAUUCCUUAACAAUGAUCGUAAUAUUCAUUACUCAUCAUCAAAAGAUUUAUACAAAUUACGGUACUUAUACACUUUGCUCAAAGUACUAAUCACUUUACCACAAACUAGUUUCAAUCUUUGUCAGCUAUUUUAGUCAGCCCGCAGCGGAGGGAAGACCAAGUGGUGACUUUCAGACCUACCAUUCCUCUCUAUCUCUCUCUAAUUUCUCUCUCCUUUUGUAUAUAAACACCAACCAUAUGUACAUUACACACUCCAUCCACAAGCCUCCCUACUUCUUUUGUGUGGCAAAUUCGAACUCAGCAUACCGCAACCAACCUAAAAAGCCACUAGGAUUGCGAUGUCGGACCGCGGCGUGGUGGCGGUGUACGACAACUGCAGCUCGGAGCUGCUGGAGCAGUCGUCGACGGCGGGGAACAAGAAGGCACCGUCUACGGCGUUCUCGGUGAAGGCCGGGCUGGCGCAGAUGCUGCGCGGGGGCGUGAUCAUGGACGUGGUGGACGCCGAGCAGGCGCGCAUCGCCGAGGAGGCGGGCGCCUGCGCCGUCAUGGCCCUGGAGCGCGUCCCCGCCGACAUCCGCGCCCGCGGCGGCGUCGCCCGCAUGAGCGACCCCGCUCUCAUCAAGGACAUCAAGCGCGCUGUCACCAUCCCCGUCAUGGCCAAGGCCCGCAUCGGCCACUUCGUCGAGGCCCAGAUCCUCGAGUCCCUCGGCGUCGACUACGUGGAUGAGAGCGAGGUGCGCACAUAUAUUCAAACAAAGCUGCAUAACACAUGUAUGCAUGCUAUGCAUGCUGUUAGAGAACGGUGUUUUAAUAUUAUAUAUAUUUUCUGUAAGGUGCUGACUCCUGCGGAUGAGGCCCACCACAUCAACAAGCACGCGUUCCGCGUCCCCUUCGUCUGCGGCUGCCGCAACCUCGGCGAGGCGCUCCGCCGCGUGCGCGAGGGCGCGGCCAUGAUCAGGACGAAGGGCGAGGCCGGGACGGGCAACGUCGUGGAGGCGGUGCGCCACGUGCGCGCCGUGAUGGGCGAGGUGCGGGCGCUGCGCGGCAUGGAGGAGGACGAGGUGUUCGCGUACGCGAAGCGCAUCGCCGCGCCCUACGAGCUGGUCAUGCAGACGAAGCAGCUGGGCAGGCUGCCCGUGGUGCAGUUCGCGGCGGGGGGCGUGGCGACGCCUGCCGACGCCGCGCUCAUGAUGCAGCUCGGCUGCGACGGCGUGUUCGUCGGCUCCGGGAUAUUCAAGAGCGGCGACCCCGCGCGGCGGGCCCGCGCCAUCGUCCGGGCCGUCACGCACUACAACGACCCCGACGUGCUCGCCGAGGUCAGCUCCGGCCUCGGCGAGGCCAUGGUCGGCAUCAACCUCGCCGACACCAAGGUCGAGCGCUUCGCCGCCCGCUCCGAAUAACAAUAACGAUAAACAAUUCGAUCGCGCAUUUUGCCGAUCCAAUACAGCUAGCCUAUACAGAUUAUCAAUAGCGAAUUUGAAUUGUUUGCUGAAGAUUAUUAUUAUUAUUAUAUAUAUACCGCAGUUGAAUGCGGAUGUAACAAUUAUAUACUGGGUUUAAUGUGGUAAAAAUUAAUGUUCAUGGUUUUGUUAAUUGCUUGAUUUUGUAGAUGAAAACAUAUGCAUAUAUAGAUUCUGAAGAAUUAAUUAUAACUACCACGUACUAUAUUAAUUAUUUCUUAAUUAACUAACUAAUCAUUUCUACUUGUUGGAGGUGCCUAGCUGUUUUGACAUCUCGGCUCUCACCGAACCGGCCAACAUGCAUUAAUUAAAUUUUAAUUAGUGCUCUCGAGAGUUAAAUUCACAUUGUUUUGAGUACUAAUUUUGCUUCAGUACCAUGUUGUCGACAGUUGGUGAACCACUAAUCUAACUUAACAUUUAUAAACGUUUACCUAUCAUAAGAUACAUAUUAUUAUCCAACUAGGCAACAUUAUUAGAAUAUGUUUGGUAUGGGGAGCUACAAAAAGCGGUUGAGCUAAAAGAAAAGUUAGAGCGAAAGCACACGGCAAUACAUACAUGCUGCUUUACUUUUGGAUGGUACAGCAGAGAUUAUAUGUAAUCUAAUCAAUACGUACAAUAUGCUAUCAUUUUCUUUUUUUUUUAAAAAAAAUAAAUAUAAUAUUCUUUUACUAUACCAAAUUAUAUUUAUAUAUAUUUUUUCUCCGGCAAUUUCAAGGAGAGAGAAUUAGGCAUCUGAACAGGGCCCAAAGCCCAAGAAGAAAAAAAAAAUGAUAGAGCUCAAUAUAUACAAGAGUCUGGCCCAUGAACACGCGAACUAUCUUAUCCUGGAAAGGCUUUUUUCAGUUCCCAGGUUUGAAGUUUCCAGCUCUCACCUGGUUUGGCAGGCGUAGGGAUGGACUAGUUGGGUCUGUGCAGACAGCACACACAGCUCACACACUCGUCAAUUGAUGGCUCCUCCUUCCUUCUCCUUCUGCUCCUCUCUUCUCCCCUCGUGUGUUUCCAUCCGCUGCUUCUCCCUCCGUGCACUUCCACACCUUCCUUUACCUUCCAAUUCUCGCCGCAGUCGCCGCCGCCGUCUCGGUCGCUCUUCUUCCUCCCCACCGGGCGGCUCAUCCUUCCGGCCAGCCGCCAAUUCCCGCCUUCCGCUCAGCGACGACAGUUCUAAUGGCAUCUCAUGUUAGCCCCUCUCCCUCUCGAUUUUUGUUUCUUUCUUUUUCUUCAAAGUUUUCUCUUUUCUAGCGUGUAUAUAUAUAUAUAUAUAUAGAGAGAGAGAGAGAGAGACCUAGGCUUGUAUACUAUCAGUAGCACGGAGACCUCUGUGCUACCAAGUUAUUUUCAAUAAUACGGCUUCCAAAUCGACGAUCAGCUUCGUUAGAUUUGAUCUACACUAUUAAAAGUAUCUGAAAACUAAAUUUCAUAAUUUUUCGACAUCAUUUAUCUAUCAAAAGAGUAUUCUAAAAAUGAACAGCUGAAAAAAAAAAUCUAAUAAAAAAUGAUGAAAAAAAGACUUGAAUUUAAGUUUAGAGGUACUCAUCUUAUUCUAAAUAGUGAAAAAUUUUUUUUAUAAAAAUUUAUCAUAUUUGGAUUGUUUUACACCAUUAAAUUCACAAACGCAUCACAUCGAUUAUUAAAAUUGUUAAUUUUGAGACUUUUUGAUCACUAGCCAAUAAUGUUGAAAAAUUAUAAAAUUUAGUUUCCAAAUACUUUUAAUCGUGUAGAUUAAGCCUAACGGAACCGAUCGUCGAUUUCAAAGCCGCAUCAUUGAAAACAACUUGGUAGCACGGAGGCUUCCGUGCUAUCGAUAGUAUACCAGCCUAGCUCAGUAUAUAUAUAUAAAAUAGUAUCUCGUAUCUCCAUAGAACUACCGUCCAAUUGAGCAAGUAGUCAACUCAAAAGUGAGAAUUAAAAGCAAGCUUACCCAAGCAAAAAAAAAAAUCAUUGUUUCCAAAGUAUUGAUAUGGUAUAUUUGUCCAUAUAUAUAUAAAUAUAGUUUUAGUGACAUGACCGUUAUCUAUAAACUAACUAUUCUAUCCUUGAAUAAAUAAGAUCAAAUCGUAGGUAGUGGCAGAUGUUCUGAAUCUUCUGCAAGGAGAAGCUUUAUUUCUUUGGGAACUCUUGCUAUCCUACUUCCUCACCUUCAGGUGGCACUAGGGUAUGUUAAGUUUCAAAUUUCAGUAGUCGAAUUCAAAUUUUUCGUAUUCUGUAACCUCACUUUUCAUUUGUAUAUAUUGGUGAUCUAUUCUCUUACAUUUGCGUCGUAUUGGAAACAAUCUCAAUCUCCUCUUGCAACUUUUUUCCUGAUGUGAAUUUGAUUGAUAUGUAUAUGUACAAGGGAAACUUAUUCUUGAAAAAAAAAGUUGUCCUCAAUGUUUAGGGUCGAGCACGACGAAGCAUCUGCUAUUCGAAACGGAUUGAGGAGUGUUUUAUCCAAGGGCAAGGCUGCCGGCAUGCUUCGUUUGGCCUUUCACGAUGCAGGGACGUUCGACAUUGACGGCAAUUCGGGUUCUUUUCUCACAGCACUUGUAGUGCUUAACAAGUUGUUUCUAUGACACAAAAGUCGCAAUUCAAAAGGAUACAAUCGAACAUUCUCUUCAACGCCUUUUCUUGCUAUUUUUUCGCAGGCGGUAUGAACGGCUCUAUCAUUUACGAGCUCGAGAGACCUGAAAAUGCUGGCCUUAAUAAAUCUGUCAAGGUAUUUCCUCUGCCCGACGUAAACCGCCGUGCGAGUUGUCGUGAUUUUGCUUUCCUCAUGCUUCGAUGACUUUUGAAUUGAUAGUUACGUCUUAUAUUGUUCAAAUUUGUUUAAUCAGCUCCGCAUUUGACAGAUAUUAGAGAAAACAAGGAGAGAGAUUGAGAACAUUCGACACGGUAUACGGUGUACGCCAUGCAAGGUUUGUUCUUCGGAUUAAAUUUCAAUCCAUUCUAAGUGUUAUGCACUUCAAUUAUCAGUGUCGUGGGCGGAUUUAAUUGCCGUGGCUGGUGCUGAGGCUGUUUCGCUGUGUGGAGGGCCCGCAAUUCCAAUUAGACUAGGCCGAAUUGAUGCAAGGUUCAAAACUACUCCUCUUGCCGGUACCAUAGAUGCCAUAUCUAAGCAUGCAUUUACUCUUUAAGUAAGCUUUUGAUAUUUCUCGAUCGUAUGUCUCAUACUUAGACUUUGUCGGUGAUCUUUGAAUGUAGCAGGUUGCGUGUUACCUACAUUCUUUGCAUAGUGACAAUUUUGACCUUGUAGGAUUGCAGAUCCUCAGGGGAAGCUUCCCCAGGAAUCACUAGAUGCCUCCGGCUUAAAGAGUUGCUUUCAGAAGAAAGGAUUCUCGUGAGUCCUGAUUUUGUUUUUUUCCCUUGACUAGUUUAGUUUAUAUUCCAAUUUGGUGCGCACUUACUGCCGACUCUUCCGACAGGAAAGAAACUCAUGGUGUUGUUCUGUUUCUUCUGAAAAGCAAAUUAUAAUGAAAGAGGAAAUCUAUCAACUGAAUUGGACUUCUUUUCAAGUUCAGUAGGAAGAAAAUGCAUUUUUCUUUUUUCAUUUUUCAUUUAAAGCAGAAAAAAAAACUAGCUAAUCUUUCAGGUAGUGAAGUUAUAGCAUGAAACCAUCAAAUUCCAGGGUAUUCGAUUGAUAGCGCGUAUCUGUCCGUUUCAGUGUUCAAAAAUAUCAUAGUAUUGUUCAAAAUUAAGGUAUUUUGACUAACCGUUUAUAUGACAUUUACCUUUGGAGGGCACAAGAGUUGGUUGUACUAUCAGGAGCGCACACGCUUGGAGGCAAGGGCUUUGGAAACCCUGUUGUUUUCGACAACGCCUACUUCAAAAUACUUCUCGAGAAACCUUGGAACUCAAAUAGUGAGUGACAGUGUUUAUAUUUUGUGUUGCUUUCUUCUUCUGCUCGUAAAGCUUAGACAUUAGUAAAUGUGGUAUCAAGAAAGAUGAUUAUAAUCAAACUGAGUUAACAUAGUAACAGUAGGAUUGGGGAUCUUAAUUCACCUGUUACGAUCGCCUAAUUCAUUCCCUAAAUGAAUGAAGCAGGUUGGACCUCUCGUAUAAUCAAACUGGGUAAACAUCAUUUUUGGACAGUUAGGCAUUCAGACGAUUCUCGUAUUUGUGCUAAAGCAUAAUCUGUGUUUACUCAUUGUCUUUUCUGUUUUGAUUUUCCGCCUUUUGUUUUUGUCCGUUCCAUCUCGUAAAGCUGGAAUGUCGAGCAUGAUAGGGUUACCAUCGGAUCGUGCGCUUGUUGAGGAUGAUGAAUGUCUAAGGUUUUCCUUCAUCUUUAUCGAUUAUAUUUGCUCUUUCUCCAUGUAUGGUAAUGUUCUGAGAAUGAGAACUGUUCUUCGUAUAGUAGAAUUGAUGUCAGAGUUACAUGUUGCUCGCAGGUGGAUCAGAAUUUAUGCAGCUGAUCAAGACAAAUUCUUCGAUGACUUCAAGAAUACCUACAUCAAACUUGUAAACUGUGGCGCUUCAUGGAAAACCACCUAGGUAGAUUGUUUGUGCACAAUCUUAAUGACAUAUGUAGAAGGACAUGUUAUAUUCAGUACAUGUACUUUUAUCAUUAUCAACUGCUAUUUUAGUUUUCACUAUGUAUUUUUAGUUAAAUUGUCAACUUUGCUCUUAACUCCACUUCAACACUGUUGAAUGGGAAUAUCAAAAAAGCUCUUAUGUGCUGGUUUUUUUUCUUUCUUUCUGUUUUUGGGUAAAAUUUUGAUUCUUGGAUCUUUGAUGCAGGAAGCAUGCCAUGAGCACUUUGAUGUUAUGUUCUCUUCUCUGGUUUACUCAUGUAAGAUUCCAAGUCAAUAUGUUCAGAUCUUGAUCAGCAUGGCUUCAAGAGCAAGUUCAUUGACUACACGCAACCGAGCAGUGCUUAACAUAGCGAUGGAUGGAGAAUCUUAAUAGAAUUUGCACCUUUAUACUAAUCUCUUAUUUUCGAUAUCUGUUGUUUAAGUUUUUUUGCUAUCUUUAACACAAAUGUUUUACAUGUUUAUUGCUCACUAGGUGGCUCGCGAUCAGGCACGACGAAUACUUGAUCGUCAAGUUUGGGGAAUCAUCUGCUUUUUCGCUGUAUAUCACUAGAUUUAUCUGUAUAAAGUUGAGUUCAACUUUUCCUUCUUGUAAGGUUUUAUUAAGUGUUAAAUCUGAGAACUGGAUACAUUAGUUAUCACCAGUGAAAUAGUAUUCAUUUUUUUUUUUCCCUUAAGAGACGCACCUAGAUUUUCUCGAAAUCACCGGAUGUUUCAGUUUCCGUGCCUGUUGGUGUUGUGGGCGAGGUCUAGUUCGGCGUGGUGGCACGGUCCGAUCCCUCGCCGCAACUCAGUGUAGUGUUGCAAAAGCACCUGACCGGGUGUUGCGUUUACGGAUGCAGUCCCUAAUAAUGCAGAAGUCGAGCCAAUCAGACACUAAGUAAAAUCUAUCUUAUUGCGAAUCGCCAAGUGUUCUCGCCAUAAUUAUGAAAUCAUGAAAUGAUGGUACGAUGAUAAAAAGCAAAUGUUAUUAUUAUUAUUAGCUUGCCAAAAUUUACAGCCGGUUAUUGCUUUAGGAUACCACAGAAACACAGGGAGGAAGGGACUAGCCAAAAUUUACAGUGAGUUAUUGCUUCAGGAGACCACUACAUCAGAUUACACAAAAGCACAGAGAACGAGAGGGAGAUUAUGAAACAGCAGCAGCAGCUCUUUGGAUUGGUGGAAUUGGGAAGUGGUUGCUCGGCGCUGCAUCCUCGUCUCCGUGGUCCUCGGCCUCCUCGGCCUCCCAGAGGAAGUGCGCGUAAGAAGCCAACACAUGGCUGCGAGAGCAAAUCGAACAACAUUUCGCGACUCGUUAGCUCAUCAGGAUAGUCGGCAAAAGCAAAUGCAAAGCAGAGAAUUUAGUCACAAUAGUGUUUGUUUAGCCAAACGACAGAACUAUCAGUUGGUUGCGAGAAUUGAGAGAGAAUCAUCAUCUCUUACGAGUCAUGAGGAGCGGCCUGGAUUGCGCGUUCGAAGUAACGUUCGGCUCGUCGGGCGUCCUUACUCGUCUGCCACACAAGGUCGGCGUACAGAGACAGCAGAAGGCCGUCGGACGGAUUCUCUACGAUUGCGCGCUCCAUGUAGUCCCGCGCUCCGAUCGCAUCCCCUCGAACCUGAUCCAUCAGAAUUCAUUGAUCGAACAAUUCACACCGCAAUUGAGAACAACUAACAAACCGCGCGCAGGUUAUAAAUUCAAAAUUUUGAAUUAGAGGUGGUCUGACCUCUUUUAAGAACUUGGCAUAAUUGCCAAGCAGAAGAGAGUUUCUGGGAUCAGCUUCGAGCAUUUUCCGGUAAUAACUGUUGGUCGCGUUGAUACUUUCGGUUUUUCGGUCCCACCCGCGCUUUAUUCCGUCCUCCUCCUCGUGAUCGGCUACAUUGGUGUCCUCCUUCUGAUGAUGAUCAUGAGGAGGAGGGAGAGAGUUUUGUUUGAGAAUUGGUGGGGAGGGGUGGGAGAGGUUGUUCUCGGAGAGCGCCCUCGGCAACAUUGUCGUUGUCAUCCUCGUCCUCCUCGUCGUCGUCGUCCGCGGCAGCAGAGCGUGUGGGAGAGAGACCACCUUCGCCUGCUGGUGGAGGUGGUGAUCUACUGCGGGGUGCUGCAGCUGCUGCAGGUUGUGGUGGUAGUGGUGGUGGUCGGGAGAUUGGUGCGCGAUCCACGAAUUUAGCGGCGGCGAGGACGAGCUCCGGAGAAGCAUCUCGAAUAUUUACUUUUGCUUAAUUACGAUGAUGAUUCGACUAACGAAGAGGAAAAGGAUCAAACGAGUUUUUUUUUUUUUUUUUUUCUUUCUAUUUUCUCCGAGAGUCCCAGUGAUGCCUGGUAUUUAAGAAGGGAGAAGGAGAACAAAAGAAGGGGAAAAAAAAAAAGGGGGGUUAAACAGUACAGCGCUCGGCACAGCCGCAAAGUAGAUUCCCCUGAUGAGAGAGAAAUAUCAAGAGCCUCUCGCCAAUUAUUACCGGUGAGGGUUUCGGAACACACAAUUCCCUAUUAACUACAGGCCACUUUAACGUACCAUUUCUGACAUAAGUGGCAAAAAAAAUUUAAAAUAAACGAAGCACGUACCGUUCCUAACAUAAGUGAUAAAAAAAUUUAAAAUAAACGAAGCAGAUAGUAUGCUGUCUAUUUUUUUUUUUUUAAAAAAAACUAUAGGCCACUUUAUAAAUUGGUUAAAUUCAAAUUUUAUUGAAUUGAUCAGAAGUGAUUCUAUUAUAUUUUAGUAUUGACACUGAGUUUUCAGUUUACCAAAAAUGUGGGGUUCUAAAACAAUUUAAAUUGAGAUAAAUAAAGUUUGAGCAGUCGGAAAGCGCGCCUCCACAAUAAACUAUAGUCGGGGGGGUCCCCAUGCAAUUUUUUAUGGUACUACCAAAUGAUAUGGGCGGGCCAAUCUGGACCGUCCGUGGUAAGUAGACGAAACAGAUUUCGCUUUGGGCCACGUGAAGAUGAGGACGUUGACCAGAAAGCUGUAUGGGUCGGUGGGGCCCGCACUCUCCGGUGUCAGUGCGCGUAGGUGGCGCCCACUCUGCUGCGCACAACCAACUCGUCCAUACUCUAUGGACGGACCAUAUUCGCCCGUCUUUAAUAAAAAAAAAAACCAACUCAACAUAGCCCACAGCUUUACCCUUGUUUUUUCUUUUUUUUCUCUUUUCUUUUUCUUCCUUAAAAAAAAAGAAAAAAAAAAGAAAAGAGAAGUCAAGGAAAAAUCUAACAUGGCAUGCAAAGCUGAUUUGGCUACCAUUAGUUGGGCCUAAUUAGUGACAGUUUCUACUACUCAUGACCAAAAAAAACUCAAAAACCUCAUGACAAAUACUAAAAAUUUGUCAUAAGAGCUUGAUGGUUAAUACUCGAGAUCCAAAUUUGAAUUCUAGUUGAUUCAUAUUUUCAGUUAAGUUUAUUUCUAAAUGAAAUAAAUAAAGCGGGUAGUGUGCAGUUUUUAUACAAAAAAUUUAUAACUUACUGGGUGAUAAAGAUGAAAUAAGAUGUAAAAAAAAAAUAAAAAAACUUAAAAAGCCGCAAAACAUAAAGUAUACAAAUACACCNAGAAAACUCCAUCUCUAUAAAAAAAAAAAAAAAAAACUAAAAAUUUCAAAUUCAAAAUCUAACUACUUUAUAUUUGCAACUAAAGUUAUUUCUAAAAAUAUAAAUAAAAAUAAUAGCAUGCUAUACUUAAAAAAAAAAACAAAAAAAUAGAAAAGGCCCAGCUAGCUAGCUAUGGGGCGUAACCGCGUAAGACACUUUACAAUCUCUCUUCUUUUAUACUAUAAAAAACAACAAAACUCACAAUAAUUAUGUUUCUCAUAUUGUAACAACUAUUUUCAUAUUAUAAAAAAAUAAUAAUAAAAAUCUUUUCUGGGCAUUGUGGAAGCAUCCCGACUCGGCUCUAUAUAUAAACAAAUUUAUACUAAUAAACAAACCAAUAAAUUUACAAUAGAAUUUUUAUUGAAAGAUUAACUUUUUCACCACAUGCUAUAGGGUAAUUUUUUAUGCCUAUAACAACUAUACAGAAAAGUCAAUAGUGAAUUAAUUAUUCAAAUUAACCAAUAAAAUUAAAAUAGUUCGGACAAGUACAUAAACCGCCAACUAAAGGAAGUCUGGUACGAGACACAAACUAUGGGACACAAACUAUGGGACACAAACUAUGUUAAAAAUAAAACUUAUAUGCCACAAAAUACACAAGAAAAAUAAUCGACAAUCAUUCAACUGCUCGCAAAACAACAAAUCAAAAGCGAACAAUCUGCGCUCAACCUUGCUUUUGAAAGAAAAUACUCAAAACGAGAGGUUCUACAGCAAUUCUCAAUCUCGCGAAGGUUUUCAACAGUUGCAGCAUCUAAAUAAAGGCAAAAAAAACUAAAAUAUAGCACUUACGUUAGUGAUAUAGUAUCUCCGGCCAAUCAAGUUACUUAUUUUGAAUUCACCCAUGGCAUCAUAAUUUUUAGAAAAAUAUUUUUGUUAUACCUUUCUCUCUUAAAAAAAAAAAAAAAACAGUGAUUGACAAAAAAAACAGUGAUUGACGAGUCGGGAUCUACUACAUAACAGGUUUCCUCGGGAUCUAGAGGUGCAAACUUUAUCUUAAUCACUUAAUCUCCUUUGUCCUAUCCAUAACCCAAAAAACUUUGAAGAAAGAGCAGCGCAUUUAAUUUAAAAUAUUAAAGUUCAAUGUUAAUUACGAUAUUAAAAUAUAACUUUUAUUUCAAUAGAGAUUAUUGCUGAAGCUAAGAUAGAUUCUUCUUAUGAAAUUUCAAGAUUCUUCUUAUGAAAUUUCAAAGACAGCUGUAGCUUUCACUUGUACUACCAAGUUAAAAAUGUACAAGGACAUUGCAGUUGUAACAUCAUAUUGGAAUAUCAGGAUAGUUCCGUUUUCCAAUCACUGUCAAAUAGAAAAAUACUAGCAGUACAUCUGAAAAAUAGGGUGUACAUCAUACAUUCUUUACCAUAAAAAAUAUUUUAAAAUUUUAAUAUUACUUUAAGAAAAUUGACAAUACAAAGAACUAAUAAUAACCCUUAGAUGAUGCAAUAUUCCAUCAUACCUCCUUUUGGAGUAAACAUGUAGCAUUUGCUUGAUCAAAUAUACCUUAACCUUAGACAUGUACAAAUUAAACACAUGAUGCCUUAGAACUGAGAGACUUAAAACCAACUCCAAUUACCCAGAAAAUUAAUCUGAUAAAAAAUAAUAUAAAUAUCUUUAAUAAUAAAUACAUAAUUUUUAAAAUUUAGGAUUAUAAAUACCAAAAAUUGUAUUUGGCGUGCACCAAUCAGGCAAGCACAAAACACGUGUGACCAUAGCUUUACCAGGAGAUUUUUUUUUAAAAAAAAAAAAAAAACCUAAAACGUGUAGAAAGAACAAUGAGAAACUACAAGAAGCCAUGGAGUACUCACCUUAUUAAGGCAAUAGAACACGGUUCCUUUGGUGAAGGCCUUUCACAUGUUGCUUUUUCAUAGGCUAAAAAUCUCAAUGAUGAGGGCUUUCUCUUUCCUCGUCCACAGAUGGGGCAGGGUCUCUCACUGUUGAUUUCUGUGUGUGGAAUUGUUUAAGCAAAACAAGUUUGGCUUAGAAAGAGAGUAUAAUAACAAAACAAAAUAAGAAAGUUCCAUUUUAAUCCUUUACUGCUGACUAUAUAAAUGGUGGAAGAAAUUUUGUAAGAGUAAUACAGAUGAAGUAAUUGACCAAUGACUGAAGGUAUGAAAGUGGGCUUGUAAUUUUAAGUUGUUAAUGUUACUUCACUUGAGCUCACCAAGCCAGCAGCUGAGCCGCCUCCUCGAAGGAAACCACAAAGCAAACCACCAAACGUUUCUUCUCUUGUUAAGAGUGGAAUCCUCCUCCGCUUUGGAUACCUAAAUGAACUGAUAUAGGGAAAUUAACGAACUAAUGUUCAGCUAAUUAAUCGAGUACAGAGAACUUCUCAGAGGCAAAUGGAUAUAGGAUAAUGAAAUGAAGGGUUUCUUUUUUUGCUAAAGAAGCAGUUAUUUACUUAGAAGUAGUAGUUCAGACAAAAUAUAUACAGCAAAAUAAGCCUCACAACGCUAGCAAAUAUAAGGCACCAAUCACAAUAUUGGAGUAAAGAUAAGAAAGGUCUUAUCCCCCCAAAUCAAGAAGGGAUUUGGAUUUGUAAUUCUAAGGAUAACAAUUUCCACUUCAUGCAUCUUAAAUUUGCCUAACAUUCUAAAUAACAUAUUUCUUCAAGUUAUUGUCCCUUUCUUUAAUUUCUGCUUUUCAUAAUUUCCAAGGGAUCAUCUCUGUCUUGAUGACGAGUUGUCUAAAAUGAUGAUGAAGAAGUCGCAUUCGAUAUAAGACUAUCAAUGUGAAUAGCAGCAAAGUCCUUACAACUAUGCCAAACUAAGUCCAAAACAGAAUAUUUAAGAUCUCUGCUAUGAUGAAUCAAAAUCAAACCUCACAAGGCGUAAACACUACGCACUGUUUAUUACCGGUUGAAAGUGUUAUUGGACAAAGUUUUCUUGUUCUAGACAAGGACCACUAGCAAUGACCAGAAAAGGUGGAUAUAAAAAUUUAAAUAAAACAUAAAUAUUUAGGCAAAAUAUAUUACCUUUCAAUCCCUUCAACUUUUGGCGCUAAGAUUUAAGCACCCAUCUGAAGGGAGAGAAAAGAGAGAGGUUUUCAUCCUGUAAAAAUCAAAUGCAAGAAUAUUACAUUUCAUAUGUCACAAAAAAUAAUUUUCUUUUUGCAAACAAUUUUCUUGAAACCAUUUCUUCUUUUUAGAGAGUGAAAACAUUUCUACUUCUUAUUGGGUUGCAAUUGUUCCAGUAUCAGAACAUAGAGAAAUAUAGGAGAAACACAUACUCCAUACUAGUAACACAAAACAAACGAAGGAGCAUGUAUUAAAAGUUAAGAAGCAUUAAUAUGAAGAAAGAGACAAGUAUGUCCAUGUCCAACUAGUAUUAAUAUCAAUUCCUUUAAAAGAGAUGAAAAGAGAGAUGCAUGCAUGGUUCCAUCAGCUAAUAUUCCCUGACAUCUGCUCCGCUUAAUCUUUCACAACCAUCCGAACAAAACUUGUGACGGAGGAAUCCAGUAGGCGGGAGGCGUGAUCCAACGAAACGCCAGCCUAGAAAAAAAAAUUGAGGAAAAUUCAAAUGCAGCAAACAGUUAAAAGAAGUGAACCUCCACACCAAAGCAAUGUGGUUCAAUGUACCAGCUCUUCCCAAUGAUCAACAAAACAUGCUCCUUUAAUAUCACUGAUCGACAAGGUACGGCCAAAUUUCCAGAGGGGCCCCCAUUCAGGUGUCCUCGAUGAAGCUGCUUCUGUGUUCCCUGAAAGAGGAUCUUGCAUAAUCACAAGUGCCAGUAAUGUUACUUUGCAUCCAUGAAAUCCAAGUCUUUGUAGAACGAAAGAUCGAGCCAGACCUCACCAGUUCAUUUGGAUCGCACUCGCGAAUUGAGUGGGCUAUAAAGAGGUACUAAUUGGUAACAUGAUUUCAACAUAGAAGGCCAGUGAUAGCCCAUAGCAAGACUUAUCAUAUCUAAGCAUCUUCCUUUCCAUAAUAAACACCACAGAGACAGAAUAUAGUGGGGUCCAAGACCGAGAAUAUAUACAGUACUCCAUUUCAAGUUUACCCAAUCAGUUACUAGAAUUGAAGCAGACAUAUCAAGAUGAAAAGUAAACAAGAAAAAGAACUAAUGCGGCUAAGUUGCCAUUUAGAGAGAUCUCGAGCAAUCCAUUCUCCAUUGAAUGCUUUGCUGCCACUUCACAUGUUUACUGACUACCUGCUGCUAUUCUGUGUCAUUAUGAUCUCAUUAUGAUCUCAUACUGUUUUGCAACAUAAAAUGCACACUGCCCGAUAAUGAAAGCUAACAUGUUAUAAGAGCCCAGCCCCAUAAGAAAUGAUCAGAUAAAAUAACACAAACAAAACCAUUGUGCAUAACAGCAUCCCAAUCUGAAGUACAUACUAAAACUCAAAAGGAUAACCUGACCAUCUCUAUCUUCUUUCAUGGGCGCCAAAGUAGAUGCAUUACAGGCUUCAAAGACCUAUCUUGAGGAUUGCAUCGUAACCACAAAUCAUCAAUACAGGAUAAAAUAUUGAUGCCUCAUAUGAUCAAUGCACAAGCUGUAAAACACAUUAACAUUGCCACAAGUGGUAUAAUGACAUACUAAGUAAUUAAUAAAAAUUUAUAAAUCUAGUAUGCAAUCGUGGGUGCAUGGCAAACCACAUUUCGACGAUUAAGCCAUCCAAUCUCCACCACCUGGAAACUAUCAAGCAGAUGGACAACGAUUAUUUCAAUUAAAUUAUGUGCGUAACAAUGUUCCUUUUUUCCAGAAUAUCUGCUAUUCUUAUACAUACAUAAAGUCGUCUUUGAUUUCUUUCGCUAAAUUUGCCAGUUACUUUCUAAAUCGGAACUUUUUCUUGUUCCUGGGUUUAUCUCUCCCAUCACAUGCACUUGCCCAAAAGAACAAUGACAUCCAGAAAAGAACAGCAAAGAAAAUCCUCACUCUAUCCUGGACCCUUGAGAUUCUUUCUUGCAAACCUGUCAAAAGGCAAAUUGCAUCCAUAAAAAGGAACAAACACCUUCAUUAUGCAUUGCAUUAGAAUAUGACAGGAUAGCACAUUAAGAUCCAACAUUUUCAAAUUUGUAAAUUAACUCCCAUAAUAACGAAAACAACGCACCAACAAUAUGUUAGCUAAAUAAGCGAAAGAAGUUCCCCUAUACAUUUUGUACAUUAAGGGCAUUACAUACUCUAAAUAAUUUUCUAGAGUAUGAAAAAUCACCUGAUAGGUUGAAACAAUUAUCCUUAAACUAAGGAUUACAGGGACCUUUCCACGAACUAAAAUUGAACUCAUAAGCUCUACGCAUAAAAAGAAAAUAUCCACUUCAUGCUGGUUAUCACCAAAUAACUUGUUCCAACAUUGAAGCUACACCGCAUUAUCGAUGAGAGAAGUUCACAAAAUACUCGUCUAAGUGCAAACCAAAAUUAGGUUGCAAUACAAACCAUAACCUGGUCAUACUAGAGUACUAACUAUAGUUGUAUGAAUAGUACAAUUUAACGAUCUUAACAUUUAGCAUGUUCAGAGAAUCUAACAUUUAACAUUUUGAUGGCCCUAACAUGUAGCGUAGAUCAAUAAUCUAAACAAAAUUCACCUAAAUUAGAACCAACUGGAUCAAAAGCUAACUUGCAUCAGUACGAAAUGAGAUUACUAAGAUCAAAAUUUGCGAUUAUUAUCUCAAAAUAGGGGGGAAGACCAAUUAAAUACACAAAAAGGACCAAUUGGAUCAACUUUUUAUUAGGGUUUACGGAAGCGGAAGAGGUACGAACCGGAGAGGUCAUCGGAGUCACCGCCGGGAGGUGGCGGAGCGCCGGAGUUUGCGGCCGCGCGCCGCCGCGAGGAGCCACGGGGUAGCGGCGGAGCGCGGCGGAGGAGGAGGCGAGGAGAGGGGAGAGAGAGGGGGCGAAGGGGGAGGUCGGGGACGAAGGGACACGCGGGGGAAAAGUAGAUUCGGAAGGGCGAGGCGACGAGAGAGGAGGCGGAGAAGGGAGGAGAAGGCAUUGAGGCGGUGGUCGGGGUUCGCAAAGCUUCCACGGCCCUUCCCUUUCUUUGUAGGCCUCCUUUUACACGUGGAAUUGGGUUGUUAAUGGGCCGGGCUUUAUUGGGCCCAUGUAGGGGCGCUUUGGGUUCGGAUUUGAUAGACCAAUUUGAGUCUUCUUAAAAUUUUGACUAUUCGAACAAAAAAAAAAAAAAUGUUUUUUAAAUUUUAAAUUUUUUUUUUAAUUUCGGAGUUUUUCAUAGUCAUGGGUCCCCUCUCCAAAUGAUUUUUUGUUCCAUACUCAAGUCAGAUUGAAAUUUUUAUUUUUAUCGUGCCCACAACAGAGAUAAUAGUAACUAACAAAUUUGAAGUUUCUGCGAGCGACACACAAAAACACACAUAUACAUACAUAGAGAGAUGGUAUAUAUGUAUCACUAAUUAAACCUCGACAAGUUGAACUACCAUGUAGUGAUUAAUUAAUUAAUUAAUAAUAUAAUAUAACAUGAGGUAGCCUUUUAUUAAGGUUGAAACAGCUUGUUGCCACAGGCACACUUCCAAGCUAGUAAGUAAUAAUUGGACCCGUCCUCGGCCGCACGUGCGGGACUAACGGCCGUGGGCCCGCGCCCGUGCGGGGAGACGACUAAGGUGGCCGUGCAGGGGCUGCAGCUGGAGCACUUGUUGACGCACCGCGGCGGCCGCGAUCCCAACGCCUCCCUCCGGCGCCCGCCUCCCUCCGUCGAACCGUCGACUCCGCCGCCGACGCGGACGCUCCGCUUGGCCCAAACGAGUCCUACUGUUGCUGCAUCAUCGUGAUGAGUGCAUAUUAGACGUCGAAAAAUUUUGCGGCAAUUGAGAGUGAAGACUCCACUUUCGAUUUUUACGAUAGAAAGAAACUGCUGAGAAUUUUCACUAACGUCACUUCACAUAGCAGAAGAACUACUUAUUGAAUAAAAAGAAUAGGUUCAUUGAACUUGGUCAGUGUUCACAAAUAAAAUCAUACUGGGUUUAAUUUAAUGAACCUGCUCUACUAUUAACACUUUCUUUGCUUCGUCACUGUCAUCACCCCCACAUUACAAACAAGAAGAGAGAGAGAGAGAGAGAGAGAGAGAGAGAGAGCUUAAUCACCUGGUGCGGAGGGUAAAAGUGUGGGCAAGAGGAGGAGGAGGAGGAGGGAAGUGGAGAGGGAAAUAGAAAAAAUGGAGAAAGAGAUUAGGGUUAGGGGGAGGAUGAUGGAGAGAGAGAGUUUCUUGAUUGCAAUCCUCAUUCCAGGUUUGCUGAGAUUGUUUGGGCUUUUUUUUGGGAGAGGAGUGGGGAGAGGGAGAGGGGGUUGAGGGAGAAUCGGAACAAGUUGUAGCUAAAUUUGGAGAGCGACAAUUUAAAUGAAAUCAACUGUGCAUGUAGUACUGGUUUUGGUGGCAAGUGAACGAUUUUGUUUUGUUUUUUGUUUUUUUGGUAAAAGUGGGUCGCAUGCGGAGGGCGAGGAAAUCCACCGUCCAAUGGCCAGAUGAACGGGAUCCGACGCGGGGUCCGCAUGCGAGGCGGGUCGCAUAACGGAUCACUCCGGAAACGGCGGAGGAAAAGUGACAGGUGGGUGAGGGCGUCCGCAGAGGAAGCGACGUGGCGGGGUGGUGUUCGGUGCCGGUCCGUACAACACACGCUCGUUCCGUGUAACGGGAUGAUGUGAGACUGACAUGCGGGCCCACGUUUAGUGGGGCCCGAUUUUAGGACUUCCAUGGCCGUGAUAUGUAACUGUGUCAGUGAAAAUAAGAUCACUGAGCCCAAGUCCCAUGUCCCCACUCUGACUACAGGAACAGAGGCACAGGACACAAGCAAUGAGAGAGAGAGAGAGAGAGAGAGAGAGAGAGAGAGAGAGAGAGAGAGGGGUUUUGGGAAGUGGAGAAAACCAACUCUAUCUGCUGAUGACACAGAGAGAUAGUAACGCUUCAUCUACCUUAUAUGGUACCUCAAAGAGAUCUACCUUAGAUGAUAACAAGCAAAUGAGAGUAACCGACCGUCUCUAGAAUAAGGGGUAAAGAACUUGAUGAUUAAUAUUCGAGGUCUCAAGUUUGAAUCCUAGUUGAUUCAAAUUUUCAGUUAAAUUUAUUUUUAAAUGAAAUAAAUAAAACAGAUAACAUGCUACCUAUCUCUCCAAAUAUAUCAUUAAAAAUAAUUCCUUUAAACUCUACUGUUUUAAAUUAUUAAUUAGUAUGGAACAUGCAACAAAUUUAGAUAUAGUAGUAAGUUGUUUAACUUUCAAAUUUAUAAAUGGAAUAUAAAUCAAAUACGUAAAUAAUUUACAAAACCAAACUGUUGUGUUUAAUGCCCAACAUUUCAGCUAUAUUUACGACCGUUUCUAGCGUAAGUGGCAAAAGGACUUGGUGGUUGAUAUCCGAGACCCAAGUUCGAAUCCUAGUUGAUUCACAUUUCCAGCUAAGAUUAUUUCUAAAUAAAAUAAACGAAACGAGUAGCAUACUACCUUUCUCUCUCUCUCAAAAAAAAAAAAAAAAAAAACAAUUCAGCUAUAAAUAGCUGUAGCAUUUACUCGUUUUAUAUUUAGCCCGUUUGUUGUAACUAUACCCACUGACACACCCAGUUUGCACUUUGCACCACUUAAAAAAAGGUGGGGGAAAGAGAAGACACCUGUUUGAUCAGUCCUAGUUCAGAUCAAAGGGACAAAAUUGACUAAAGAGGCCCCUGGAUUUGGUAAGAUAUUUCACUGUCUCACCGGAUUCAAUCAGUGAACCAUCCCCUGUAUUUAUUGUUCUCCUUUUCCAUGGUAAAUGCUUUGGAUCUCCCCACAAAAAAACCUCCUUGUACAGUAUUAAAUGUGCUGAUAAAUCUCACUAGUGUUUUGAAGUAGAUACAUAGAUAAACCAAAAUACUUAUGACACCCUAGGCAUUCAAUAGAUAGCUGCUCAACAUUUCAGAAUAAAUGAUCUAAUUCAACUGUCACAUAAAACACAUAAGAUACUUAGUUUGAAAAGGUGAGUACUUUCGAUUGUUUGGUUGGAUGAUUGAUUUUUUCAAAGUUGUCUAUUUCUACGAGGAACUCGACAUUGCACUUCUCCGGAGUGAUGUCGAGUUUCACUCACAAACUCAAAAAAUUGCUGGACCUGAAAUCAGAUUUACCAAACAAGCCCUAACUCAAUGCAUUACUCUCACUAGAGGAUCCAUCGAAAAUGAAACCAAACUGAGAGCGACAUAAUUGGUAGUUGGAAACCUUUCACAUCAAUAAAGGCUCAUUUCAAAAACGUGCAUAAAGAAAUAUAAAAAAAGGGCUCAGUAAAAAUGCUGAUGUUAGUAGUAAUCGACACCUCUCUAACUAAAAGCUGAUGUUUCCUCUAUAUAUAUAUAAAAAAAAAAAACACUAAAAGCUGAUGUAAGUAAGUGACAGCUUUCCCUCGUAUAUUAUUCUAGCUAGCCUUUCUUUUCAUUUCCAUAUUUUAAUAUUAAUCUUCUAUGAUACAUCCAAUCAAGUGAAUGGACUAUGACAACACAAGACAUCAAGGUUGUAUUCAAAAGAUGUGCAUCACAAGGAAAGGGCUGGGGAUCUCUAUUUCUCUACUUUUUAUUAUAGUACAACUAAGAGGAUAAAGAAACAAAAAAAAGUUGUUCUUAGUGGCUGCAGCCACUUUGUAGAAAGUUUCAGAUGUUUGAUGAAGCUACAGAAGGGACACAACAUACAUUAGAAAAAUUAUUGGGUGAUGCGGUGUAUUAGUACAUUUCAUACUUCAUAUAAAUGUGCAUAAGUAUGUAAAACCAUGGCAUAUGACAUCUUAAAUUUAAAUUUAAAUAUGUAAAAACUCUAAUUCAGAUAACACUCACAAUUAUUGUAUCAGCAUGAAACAACUCUCAUUAAAACAUGAUGUUUAGAAAAUUAGAAUCACAAACUAGCCAAAUGCCAAAGCCAUAAGUACUUGGGCACGAAAUUAAAUUUUGUUACUCUGGAAAGAAAUUAUUCCCCCGCAUCUAAGUCGUGAAAAUUAUUUUCAUCAUUAUUUGGUAUUCAUAUAACAACCGUAGUAAACAAUAGAAGGACAAUUACCUGGAGAUAAAAGUUGCUCGCUGCUGCAGACGCUCCACCUAACACAUGAGGCCUUAAAUUGGUUCAGCUAAGCAUGUCCUAAAAAUUAAACCUACACUGAGAAAAGACUAUUACUCAUAAAAAAUAAAAAAUUAAAAGAAACAAGAAAUAUGUAUAAUCUAUGACAUAAGUAUCAACAAAAACGAUCUAAAUAGUAAAAUGGUUCACAACAAUUUAUUAUAUCGUAUAAAUAAGUGUCGCAUCAGCAUCAUUAUGAAUUUAUGUAGUCGAAAUUAAGACUUGUAAGGAUGAAAAUGAAACAAAAAUCGAACUCUCUGAAUGAAAUUGACAGCAUAAAAUUCAUUUUCAAAUGACUAGUACUGAGCAUGAUCUAUAGAAAUUUUCUCCUUACGCCACAUUUGAAAGAAAUAUUGAAAACCAAGAGUCCUCACAGCAGGUCGUAGAACAUCAAAUGUCAAUAGCCCCAUACACAAUAGAUUGCAAGAUUACUAGUUUCCAAGUACCAUUUACAACACGAAAAAUUAAGUACAAAAAUAAAACCGACAUAACAAUUGGAUGUAACUUAUAAUCGAAUCUUAUAAAUUAUUAGUAAGUUGCAAAAUUUACAUUUAUAGGAAUGUCCCAUAUUUUAUCCAUAUAUAUCGCACUAGACUUGUGAGUUGUGAAUGAGAAGGACUAAGAACCAGGGCCAGGCUUCAUGUGUAAUCACAAAAGCCAUGGCCAAUCUCUAGGGUAGUAAUCAGCUAGCAAGGCCAGAUUCAGCAAGCGAUUCAAUCUCUCGGGUAACAAUCAGCUUGCAAGACCAGAUUCAGCACACCCAAGGGGUGUGCCAUUUUGCACAGGAGCGGAAAACUCUUCUCAGUCACCUGCGAACAACUUCUCAGCGUAAGGACUUUUAGGUGGAGGUGCCUGGCAGAUGCCAGAACCGCAAUGCCAAUAUCGCUGAUCUGGCACCUUGACAUAUCAAGCUCUUUGAGACGAGAGCAACUCACUGAGAUCGCCACGAGGCUCUUGUCGGUAAGCUUCUUACAGCCAUCAAGAUUUAGUAGUUUGAGAGUUCUUCCAUGCGCCUUGACCAGGGCCUCAAUGGCUGCAUCGGUCAGGUCAACACAAUAAGAAAGAUUGACCUUCACCAACCGGUCUCCGGAACCUUCGAUGAAAGGAAGAAGCCCAUUGUCAGUCAAACCAACAAGCCCACUCAGGUCGAUAUGCUCCAACUUUGGGCAGAUGUUUGCCACAAGAGCUAAGCUAUCACUAGUGAGAUCAGGACAUGCGUGAAUAGUCAAGGAUGUAAGAUGGGUGCAGGAGGGGUGUAGCGAAGGAUCAAAGUCCUUAAUCUCCGAACAUUUAGCCGAGGCUAGUGAUUGGUAGUUUGUAUUGGUAUCAAGAGAAGAAAGAGAAACACUGUUGAGAGUGAUCCUGCUGCACCCUUCUAGUUGCAGGCUUUCAAGUGUUCUAGAAGUUUCAGUUACAGCUCUCAGUCCAGAAUCUGACAGGUGGAAAGAUCUGUGGAAGGGCAAAUGUUUCAAACUUGGACAACACUUUCCGAUGGAUUCAAGGGCCAGAUCAGUGACGCCGGAGCAUGAGGUGACUGUUAUGCUAUUGAGAUUUUGCAGGCUUAGAGACUUAGCUGUGAUGCGGAUUUCGCUCUUGCUCACAUUCUGGAGACCACUUAGGGUAAGGUCACUAACACCCUUCCCAUGCCGCCCAACAAAAGCACAAGAAAUGUCACUGAUGUUUAAACCCUCAAGCUUGACCUUCUGGAGGGAAGAAGAGGCAGAAGCCAUGAGGCUCGAGACUCCUAGAUCACCAACUCGUGGGCAGUCCUUGAUAAUAAGGCAGUUCAACUUUUGACAGCAAAGGCCAAUAGCAUGCAGGCCUUCAUUGUGGAUAUUUGCACAUGACUGUACUUUUAGAGAAGUCAAGUUCCGACACUUCCUCGCAACGGCAAUCAAACCCUUCUCUGAGAUUAGCGGGCACUGUGUGAGGUCAAGCUUUUCCAGGAUGGGACAUCCACCAGCAAUUUCAGAUAGGCUAAUGUCAGUGACUAAAGGAACAUUCCACAUUGACAGAAUGCGAAGGGAAGGGCAAGCAUGAGCUACGGCAGAAAGCCCACGGUCAGUGAUACCACAAGUUGGAUUGCCAUAGCUAUUGCUCCCUCGGAUCAAAAGGUCACCAAGCCCUCCACGACUACUAUUACCUGUUUGAUAUAAAAUAUUAACAACAUAUAAUACGAGAGCAAGAGAAUUGAGUUCAAAUCCCACUAGGUCCAUCCACUGUUUAAUUAAAAGAACCGCCUUCCAUGAUGUAGUUGAAAAAUAGGGACCAAAAAAGAAAAAAUAGAGCCGAGACAGAGAGGGAAACUGCUUAAUAAAAAAUUAAAACAGCGUUCUCUAGCAGCCCAAGUUUUUUGAGGGGAAAAUAACAGUCUUCCACAUUACCUACAGCUAUAGCGGCAAGUUGAAUAUCGGUAGCCUGCUUGCCUUCCAAGAUCCUACUAUGAGACUGGUCUACCUCUCCCUCAUCAUCCUCUUCCUCAUCACCGACCCCAUCAGCGUUAAGAUUUGGUAAAAUCUUCCGCUGAACAGCAUCGGACGGGCGGAUGCCGCUCAGAAGGAAAAGCCAUUUUUUGCAAACACAAGCAGAUUUGGUCCUCUCCUUACUCCCUGGAAGUCGCCGGAAGAUCUCAAAGAGGCACUCGUCGGGAAGAUAGUUGACAGUGUCGGACUGAUGCUCUUCUUCAUUAGCCUUUCUUUCUCUCCUUUCCGAGAUUACUGGGGAGGAGGAAAUCCUGGGCAUCUUGCGAGGUCGGCUGUGGGCAUCAAGAUCGGAAGGCAUAGAAGAGACAAAGUGGAAUCCAAAGCAGGGUUUCUCGAGGUUGAUAUCAUCGUCUCCUGAGAAAAUUGCAGGGGAACUAAUUGAUAAAACCGAGUUUGGUAUUGUUGUCAUUUUUUUGUUUCUCGAAAAACACAAAUUCCACCCAACAGAGCCUGCGGGCAGAUGUCUACUGGUUUUACUUGGCAACAAAAAUUUUGAACUUGGUAGUAACUUUUUUUUUUCGCAUUUUUAUUAUUACAAAGAAGAUGCUGUUCAGCAUCAAGCUGGGUGCAUUGGCAAGCUACUCAGUAAUAACACGAACAAAGAAGUCCAUUUGCCGGUGCAUCUAAUCAUUUAAAAUUUGCAUUUAAAACAUUAUAAAAAGAGCAAACAAGGCAGGAAAUUCUAGAUGGUUGAUUCAAAAAUGCAAAAUUGAAACACGGAACCGUGUAAUCUACGCCAAUAUGAUAUGAUCUCCUAAAAGCUUAAUACGUACAUGUAUAUAGCCUAGAAAACCUAAUAUAUGUCACUGAAUAUCUACAAAAGAGGGGAAAAAACGAAAUUUUCCAAAUUUGAAACCCUAAGACUCCCAAUUAAGCCAAAAACAGAGAGGAAUAACAGCAAUUAGGACAUCGCUCGAUCAAUAAAUUCCGAAGAGACAUGAAAUUGAAGCGACUACCUUCGUAGUUGGCGAUGGCCAUCAGUGGUGACGAAGGAGACGAUUCCGAUCGCGAUUACUGAAUAACAGGAAAUCGAAGACGAAGAAGACGAAUUCGAGUUCAUCUACGGGGGAAUCGGGUUUCGCACGGGUAGGAGAGCGCCCCCGAUCAGGGGAUCGUUCUCAAAACCCUAAUCGCGUUUAGGGCUUAAAACGAGCGAGAGAAAGAAAGAGAGAGGGGAGAGAGAGAGAGAGAGAGAGAGAGACUCGACGUUGAGUCUUUGAGCGAGAGACAGGCCGAAGCAACUUAACACGCGUCACGUGAUUGGCACGUGCACUUUGUCCACCUGUCCAUAAACUUAGCGGGUUUCGGGUUUCGGAUUGAAUGUUCGAAGCCUCUCCUGAAAAGAAAUUAUUACGUGGACCAGGUGCACCGUAGACCGCCAGAAUUAUUUAAUGUUUAAUGUGUUCAAAUUAACAUUUUAUUUGCAUAGCUAUGAUCUAAGAAAAAAAAAACUCUAUGCAUAAAAAAUUAUACUAUAGUUUUGAGAACUUAUUAACUAUGUAUUGAACGGUCUAAAUUUUUUUUUUUAAGAGAUAGAUAGCACGCUACCUACUUCGUUUAUUUCAUUUAGAAAUAAACUUAGCUAGAAAUGUGAAUCAACUAGGAUUCGAACUUGGGUCUCGGGUACCAACCACCAAGCCCUUUGCCACUUACUCUAGGGAUGGUCGGUACGGUCUAAAAAAUUAAUAGUAUAGAACGAGAGACUAUUUGAUCCUAUGAUAUAAAGAUGUAUUGGUAAAAUACCUCGCUACACUACAGAGCACAUGUAAGUCGUGAUCGUGAAUGUUUGGGAUACACAUUGAAACUGGUGAGCUCACCACAGAUUGUAUAGGACCAAAGUAUGUGCUCUCUCACGAGACAGCAAGUUUUCAUUGUGAUUUUUAGUUCAAAAAAUAUCGUAGGUUCACGAGCUAAUUAUUUUUAUUGUAACAAACACAGCUUAGAUGUUCAUAAUUUGUGACUUCGUAUGUAAAUCUUCCGAAUAUUAUAAAAUAUAAGUAACUAAUUAAAUUUUAAUUUUAAAAUUUUUAUGAUAGCUAGAGUUUUAGGUUAUGGUGCACCGGGUGCAUGAAAAGAGGAAAACAAAAAUAUGAAAGGGAAAAAGCAGUAGUUGGCACUUAGCGGUAGUGAUGAGCAUCUUCCAAAUGCAGUCAAAAUUUUUAAUUUUUUAAUUUUUUAAUUUUUUUUUUUUUUAUGUGGGGUUACUGGUUAGGAAUUAUUGCAAGUGCGCCCUUUAUAAAGGUUUUUUUUUUUUUAAAAAAAAAUGGCCCUUAAAACAAAAUUUAAUUUUGUGACGUGAUCGAGUUACAAAUUCUUAGUACACAUUUUGCUUAAUGCAAUUAAAAUUAAAUUUAAAUUCUAACUAACCUUGUUCUCAUCAAGGAACAAAUUUAUUCCAGAAAAAAUGUGGAAUAGCAGUUUCAGUCUUAUACCAGCUUAUUCUUUAAACUCUGAAACUACUAUUCUCAGGUACCAAACAUCACGUUUAGAAACGAAGGGGGAAAACAAGGGCUUAUUUUCUCCUUGUUUCCGAACCAAAUGCUAUCUAAAAGUUAUAAUUUCGAUUGAGAAUUUAGUACAUGUUACCUUGAAAAACUAAUUUUUCAUCUUUUUCACAAAAAUAAAAACUUUAGUUUUCUGUCAAAUUUGAAAUUUAGUUCUUCAGUAAAACUAUUUUUGCUCGAAGACAAACAGACUAUUUGUGAAAUUAACCAAGAUCACGAACUGUUAAUCAAGUCAAACCAUUUGUUUGGUUCACCAAAGGGGGAAUCGAAAUAGACAAGAAUAAGAAAAAGAAAAUCAUAAAAUUGCCUCCAUCACCGACCGUUCCUAACGCAAGUGGCAAAAAGGUUGGUGGUUGGUGGUUGGUAUCCGAGAUCUCGAGUUCGAGUCCUAGUUGAUUCAUAUUUUUAGCUAAAUUUAUUUCUAAAUAAAAUAAACGAAGCAGGUAGCAUGCUACCUAUCUCUCAAAAAAAAAAAAAAUUGCCUCCAUCCAAAACUAAGAAAAAAAUUACUAAACUUAUUAGAAAAAUAAAUUAUUUAACAAAAGAAUAUUUUAUCAUGAUUUGAUCAAUUCUCUCCCAUAUUUUGGUUGUAAUAUUUUACCUGUUGACCUCGCUCUUUUCAUGAUAUAUAUAUUUGGUGUAUUUCAUGCACUCAUAAGUUGGACCUUUAAUUGGUCGAUUUCAAAGAAACCGUAAUAUUUUUCAGAUAAAAUAUUUUGGUCUGACCUCUAUGAGAAGUCUCAGUUGUACUCAGUCUUUGCUCAUGAUUUGAUCAAUUAGUGCAAUUAUUUGAAUCUUUCUCACAAAUCUGCUCUGUAAUUCUAAAAUUGGUCCAGCUCUUAAGGAUAGGAUUUCCAAUGCCAAAUUAGUCGGGGACAGAACAGUGUACAUUGGCGUUGGAGCACCGAUGAAUGAUUUACUGUGAAGUCAACUUAUUCAAUUCUAAAGGAUGUAGGCACGUGGGACGCCCAUACGUGCAGAAUCUGGUCUUUACGUCUACCUCUUAAAGUGAAAGUGUUCAGUUGGUUUGUACUAAAGAAGAGACCACUGACAGUUGACAAUUUUGUAAAGAGGGGAUGGACUGGUAACACAAAAUGCAUGUUGUGUGAACUGGAAGAGAAAAUAGUGGACCACCUAUUCACUUAGUGUGUGGUCACUAGAUUUCUUAUGGUGUCGACCCAGGAGAUUAUCCAUAUGGGAGAUUUGGGAUAUGAAGUGCAUAUGAUCUGGAAUAGAUGGACUGGAAGAAAGAGAACCCAACCGACCUCAACUGGGCUUUUAGGACUUAUAGCCUGCUGGUGGGUCAUUUGGGAUUUAAGGAAUAAAGCGAUUUUCAGGAUGAUCCAGACUGAUCCAAUAGUCGGUAUACACAAAAUUAAGCAGUUGACUGACCUGUGGAAGAAAAUUAGGCCGGAAAAGUGACCCAACUGUUAAUGUUAGAAGGUGACCCAACUGUAAACGUUGUUUUUUUUUUUUUUUUUCCGCCAUCCUUUGAGGCUUAUGCUGCCUCACCCAUGUAGCUUAAUUCACUUUCUAACUGAAUAAAGUGGGUAGCAUGCUACCUUUCUCUUAAAAAAAAAAAAUCUAAAAUUGGUCAUGUAUCAUACAUUAACAUUAUUUGUUCACCGUUGCUUUGGCAAGUUAGAUAAUAGUAAUCUAUCACUUAGUUCUAGCACCUCGUUUUCUUCCGUAACUUUCUGCUUAUCUGAAACGACAUGCAUUCUUUUUUCCUCCUGCUACUAAAUUGAUCUCCUUAGUUGUGAAAUCAAUUUUCAAUUACUGAAAUAAUGCUUGAUUUUUCUCCAAUUCUGGAAUUUAAAAUACCUCAUUUCUUCAAGUUUUUGAUAUCUCAAGGUUUUACUUCUUCAGAGUCAUCACCAGUUACCAUCCACUCCAAUUUUGGUCACUUGACUUGGACAUCUUCAACUCCUUAUGCUCCGCUACGCACAAUCCAUUCAUGAUUCAUGUAAUUUGACAUGACCUGACAUAAAGUUAGCAAGUUUACCAAAAAUUGAAUUCUAAUAAUUAACCUGCACAAAGUUUUAUGUAGACACGCACAUCUUAGUCACAUCUUAAGACUUUUUUUUUUUUUUUUUUUUUUUUUUGCCCAUCCGAGGAAGAUAGGUUUGCCUAUUUACUUCAUUUAUUUAUAACGAAAUAUAAACUGAGUUAUUAGAAGUGGGACAAUUGGCUUCAAGAAUCAUAAACAUCCUAAGCAAGAGCAGACUGAAAAAAAAAAAAAAAACCUAGAAUGAUAUAAUUACAAGCUAAGAUAAUUUAUGAUGUCCAUUAUUAAAAUUCUUUCCAUUGCUUAGCUAACACUUUGGCCCUACGAAAACCUGACUGCAUUGAUCAGAUUGACCAGUAUAUUUCUAAUGGGUAUCCAUUUAUGACUCGUCAAUUGCAACAAUAGAUUCAUUUGAGACUACUAUAUAUAUAUAAUAAUACUAUAUAUAUAUAGUAUAUAUAUAUAUAUAUAUUAACUAUUGGGGCUGCUACAUUAAUGUUAAUCAAACCAUAUUUUCUUGCUUAUUGGUAACAAUCUCUUGUGCGUUGACUCAAUAAAUCUUUUUGGCUCGUACCUGCCACCAACUAACCGUUCACAAAAUAAAAUUGAUGUCCCACUUAGUCGACCCCAUGUGGCUAUUGUUGACUUUUAAUUUAGGCAACCAAUCCUCUUAGAUUGUCUAAACUUUGUUUGUCUCAGCAAAAGGGACACAUAUUGUAAACAAAACAAUGCAAUUAAUUAUUCGUUUAUUCUAUUUUUUUGGUGUGUUAAGGUGAAAAAUAUUGUAUGGAGUUCGCGCCCCUCAACUCUAUAGGUUAUUUUGAAAUGGCCCCCUCAAUUAUACUUUUACUGAACGAUUCGACCGUCUUAACUUCUAUUUAUUUUUUAUUUAAGUUGUUCCCGUUAGUUAAGUUAAAAUUUUUACCAAAUAUAAUGGCUAUGUUAAUUAUUCGGUAGUCAUUAAUUAACCGUUCCAAUCUCAUUCGCUAAAAAAGGACUAAAGCUAAUAAAUUUGAGAGAAAUUAUAGAUGAAUUUAGUAUAAUGUCUAAUUUAUUUGACUGAAAUUACUAAAUGUUAAAAAAAAAUAAUAAUGAUUUUAUAUUAUAUAAUGAGUUCAACCAUUUCUUUUGCAAAUAAAAGUAAAAUAAUUGACAUAUAGUAAAUAACAAAUUUUUAUCACUAGAAUAAGUUAAUUUUUUUUUUUUAAAGGGACUCCUUUCAAGACGUCCGAUAAUUGAGGGGGUGUUCAUAAAUUUUGACCUAUAUUUUUAUUUAUUAAAGUCCCUCCAACUUUUUGUGUAAAGCCGGCCCCCUACCCCCAUCCCCCCUCCCCUCCCUCCCCCCCCCCCUCAUCUGACGUGGCAUGUGGACCCCCAACAAAGUAAACGGCGGGCGCGUAGUCUUCUCCAAUGAAAACCCAUGCCUCACUGGUGUUUACACCGGAGUUGACUUUUCCUCCUACAAUAAUAAACAUUGAUCAAUUUGGUCGCAUUAUCUACUCUAAUUAUAUAAUUUUAAUUGCAUAUAUAUAACUUGUUGUUGCUGUUGUUGGUUUACAUUGCAACACUUUGUUCCAUGGCUUCCUCAAGGUUUGAUGCCGUCGAGACCCCGAUCUCGAUCUCGAUCUCGAACUCGAACUCGAACUCGAACUCUCGUCCUCGUCGAAUUGAGCUACAAGCCCCGCGGCCUGCGUCGCUGAUGCUCCGCGAGGGGUCGCGCACGAUCGACAAGCGGAGGAAGCCGGUGAUCAUAUACAUGGUCUCGCCGAAGGUGAUCCACGCGGAGGCGAGCGAGUUCAUGUCGUUGGUUCAGCGCCUGACCGGACCCGACUCCCCCACCUGCAACAACAACAGCAGCUCAGAAACUCCUAAAUCCUUCACCGCGCACCGCCACAGCCGCCACCGGAGUACUCAGGGCCGACAGUUUCCGGUCCGCGUCAAGGCGCGAACACUGAACCCUUCUAGAAGUAUUGAAGCCUUGGCUCAUGAUCAUCAUCAAAGUCGAGUACCGGUUCAACCGAUAUCUCCGACUCUAUUUUUACGUGAUUUGUGCUCGCCUUCGAUCAGCGGCGGUAGCUCUCUGAACUGGUUGCUGCAAGGGGAUGAUCUCUUGACUCCGCCUUCGAGUUUGCGCGGUUCGCAAAACUACCUUGAUAUAUUCAGCCAAGAAUAGAAUUCGAUCUCUCGACGCGUGUAGUCGGUGACGAAAACGGUGAUUUGCAAGUACUACAUGCAUGGUUUAUCUCAAAAUCAAAUCCUAUGCUCAAUAUUGAACCUUGUUUUGGUUUUUUUUUUUUUUGUGAUUUUUGUAAAUAAUGAGGAGUUUGUUAUUAAUUAGGUUCUCAUUGGUAAUGGUGUGAGGGUUUGUUUGUUUGUAUUAUAUUCAAAUAUGUAUGUGCUGUUGAAAAUGACAAUGUUUUCAUACUUGUUUCUGCAUGAGAAUGACAUCGAUGAAUUAAGGGAUAUGGUGCAUCUCAGAUGAGCCUAAACCAUUCGCAAAUUUAAUUUGUGAAGCACUCUAAUUAAUAUCUUUUUAUGAAGAUUAUCAACCAUAUUUAGUUAAUCCAUAUGAGUAAAACAUAUAUUAUUAGGCACAUAUAUGCAUUAGAAAUGGAGUUAAAGCGACAAAGAAGUGAUAGACCGAGGAAAGGAACUGCGCGUGUUAUGUCACUUUUUAGUAUAAAUAGAUAAAUUCAAUGUUAAAUCUAAUUAAUAACUAUUCACUGGUGGAAUUUGACUAGAUUCAUGUAGAAAAUUCACUUGUAAGUGCUUAUCUCUAUACUUAUUGUACUACACUGGAAGAAGCAAUUGCCUAAAAAAUGAUCUCCAUACAUUAGUUGUAAUGAAUUAUACUCGAUCCCCACAAAAAAAAAGGGAAUGGAGCCAUUGAUCAUCUUUCUUUUUUUUUUUUUUUUUUAAAAAGAAUUAAUAGUGCCUAUUUGAUUUAAUUUUGGCUUAGGUUGGAUUAUUACAUAUUUGUGACUAAUCAUCUCUCUUUUUUGGUAAAAUAUUAUGCCUACAUACUUGCGGCUUAGCCCACGGUACUUUCACUUUUAUAAAGGUGGGACAUUUGAAUUAACGAUCGAUACUAUCAGAAGUGACACUGUUAGGAGUAUCAAGGAAUCAAAUUUCGUACUUGUGGACAUACUUCGACACAGCUUUUUUUUUUUAUGCGCAUUCAUUGCAUAUCAUUUUAUUGAGGAUAUAUGCACACUCUUUUUAGAACAGAUUUAAAUCGAGGACUCAUAGGCUUAAAUGCAUUAUUAUCAAAUGAGCAAUAAUUAAUUAAUUAUCAACAAUUACAGUUGGAACAAGCCACAAAAAGGAAAGCAUUGUUAGACUAUUGGUAAUGAAAUAUGGCAUGGGAGGAACUACUAAUUAAAUAGAACCUUCUAUAAGAAAUAUUUUAUCCUAAUUUAGUUUGUGACAAUAAAUAUGUUAUAAAUCUAUUUAAUUCCCUAGCUUAGGCACAAAAUAAUCUGCUUCUUUUGGCCCCCCCAAAACAGUUAAAAUUUGAUAGUUGAGCCUUGAGUGCUUUCUUAUAGAGGUGCAAAAAAAUAUGUUAAGGAGUUAUUGAGAGAGCAUAUAUUGUAGAAUCUUUUCGCCAUAUGUGCAUGAAUUGUUUCUAAGCAUUAAUUUGAAGACACCUUUAGAAAUGUUCCCUAAGGAGAUGGAUGAUACCUUUGUUCUAUAAAUUUGAAGACACCUUUAGAAAUGUUCUCUAAGGUGAGACCCCAUCACCAUAAAUAAAAUCAAAAGUACUCAGGCUCCUCCCAUUUAUUUUUAUAUCAAGGCAAAGCAUGGUAUAGCUCUUUUUUUAAAAUAAAAAAUUUGGGGGUUUGUUCACUAAUAGCUUGAUUGUAGGAUAUGGUGCCCUUUUUUUCUUUUCUUUUUUUUUUGGUUCUAACCUAUAAUUCACUGUGUUUUUUUCCUUUCUUAUUUUAUUAUGGUAUUUAUAUGUAUUUAGGCAAUCACAACAGUUAUUGGGUUGGUGUUUCUAUUUGGUGUUCAAUUAACAUUUGGGGAGCCUAUUUACAAUGUGAUUGACUAUGCUGCUAAAGGAGAUGGCAAAACUAAUGAUACAGAUGUAACAAAACUCUCUCUCUCUCUCUCUCUCUCUCUCUCUCUCUCUCUCUCUCUCUCUCUCUCUCUCUCCAUAUUUUUUAAUUACAUAGAUAUAUUAUUAAAUAUGUUAAAAAUAUCUAUAGCUAUAUUUAUUUAUACGACCUUAUUUAAUCACUUAAAUGGUCGUGCUUUUGUUUCUGUUUGUUUCAAAUGGUUAUGUUUGGAGCAAAAUGGAUCUUUACGCAUUAUUUAUUUUUCUUACUCUUCAUGGUUUAAUACAACCUUACAAAAAGCAAAAAAUAUAGCUCUCAUAUGAAUAAACAUACUAUUCAGUGUGAGGCUACUAUACUUUUAGAAGCACGAAGCCUUCCGUACUUUCACAUCGUUUUCGAUGUUGCGACUUUCGAAUCGUCGAUCGGCUCAGUUAAACUUGAUCUAGAGUAUUUGAAGUAUCUAGAAAAUAAAUUUUAUGAUUUUUCGAUAUUAUUUGCCUAGUGAUCGAAGGGGCUCAAAAUCAAUAAUUUUAAAGGCCGAAGUGAGUCGCUUGCAAGUUUAACGGUGUAGAAAUAUCCAAAUCACGUGAAAUUUUGAUAGAAAAUUUUUUAUACUAUAUAAAACAAAAUUAAUAUCUUUCAUUUAAAAUUUUAAUGUCAUAUUAUCACGUUUUGUAAAAUUUUUAUUUUCAGCCGUUGAUUUUGAGCCCCUUCGUUCACUAGGCAAAUAAUAUCGAAAAAUCGCAUAAUUUAUUUUCUAGGUACUUCAAAUACUUUAGGUCAAGUUUAACAGAGCCUUCCGUGGUUCCAGAAGUAUAGUAGCCUCACUCUUCUAUUCAAGAAAUCUAAGUUAGUAAUAAUAAUAAUAAAAAUCUAGCAUUUCAAAUCCGAACUAUAAAUCUAUGCUAUUGAAUCAAAUCCCCCCAGAAUUGCUAAAGUAGCUAAUAUAAUUAAUUUGCUUCUAGAUAUGCAAAUACUAUUAACUUAAUUUCUCUAUCAUUUGGUUUUCUCUUUUUUGGGUUCCAACUCAAAAUUAUGUUAAUUUAUGCUAAAAUCAUAUAGUGCUUCGAAAUUAGCAUGAACUACUCCACUCCAAUUAAAGUUUAUUUAAAAUUUACGCAUGUUUUUUUAUUUUUUAUUUCUUUUUUAUAAUGAAGGCAUUUUUAAAAACAUGGGAAGCAGCAUGUGGAGAUUGGAGCUACUCAACUCUCCUCAUCCCCUCAGGAAAAACUUUUCUCUUGAGUGGAAUCACUUUUUCUGGUCCAUGCAAAAAUAACAUUCACGUUCAGGUACAUAUAUACAUUAUCCAUGCACUUUUAAUUACAAUAUUCAAAUUUAUAAUUAAAUAAUAGGUACAUGCAAAAUAUAUAAGCUAUAGACAAAUUAAGAGAUGUAAUGGAUGCGAGAUGACACAUGAUAAGAAAAUACGCCAUUUGAAUUGCUAAGAAAGUUACUCUACAUGUAUUGUAAAAUCGAUCAGAUAGAAAAUAGACCAGAAAUAUUAUUUAAUAUAGAGUUAUUUGUGUCGAAGCAAAUAAUUUAUAUAAGAUGAUGUAUAUAAAUAUGUGCAGCUUAGUGGAAAUAUUACAGCACCAAAUACUUUAUGGACAAGGGAAGAGACCAACUUGGUGACAUUCAUCAACAUCAACAACCUCACAUUGGAUGGUGGGGGCCAAAUCGACGGCCAGGGAUCUAUCUGGUGGGAUUGCUAUUCCAAACAUGUGAGUACCCCCUCUCACUCUCUCAUCAACUUGAUCAAUUUUGAAGGAUAGUGUUAUUAACAGAGCGUAAACUAUUUUAAAUUUAUUAAAUCUGAAACAAAAUUCAAUCAGAGUGAAUCAUUGCUCUGUUCACAGAAAUUGUCAAUCAUACAGAUAAAGUGGCUCUCUUAAUAACAGUAUCUACAUAUUUGAAUCCUAAUUUAAUUGAUUUUCCACCUCUAUUUUGCACAGACUUGUAGCAACAGGCCUUAUGUAAGUCUCUCCUUCCCAUACUCAUACUUUUCAAGUUACAUUUACAUAACUUCUAUUUUAUUACAAUGUAUAUAAUAUAUAUAUAUAUAUACUGUUAAAAAAUUAUGUGAUUAUAUAUAUAGAUAGUUGGAUUCUUGGUGUGCAAUAAUCUCUGGAUAAAAGGAAUAAACCUGAAGAACAGUCCAAGCAAGCAUAUGACAUUUUACGCUUGUAACGGCGUUUUCGUUGACUGGGUCUUCAUUACGGCGCCCGGCGACAGCCCCAACACCGACGGCAUCCUCGUCGCCGAUUCCCAUCACGUCCAAAUCCAGUGGACCACCAUCGGUACCGGUACGUACGCACGAAUCAUCGUAAUCCUUAUAAUAUGCGUACAUACCGUAUACUUAUAUAUGUACUCCGAUGUAUUCCUACUCUUGUACAUGAUUCACCAAAGUCCAUAGGAAAUCAUCAUUGUCUUAGGUUUUGAAAUCGUUGUGUCCUUUUGCAUAUUCCACGGUAACGGCUACGACGACGACAAUGAUGAUGAUGAUGAUGAUGAUGAUGAUGAUGAUGAUGAUGAUGGUCAUGGGUGUUUGCAGGAGAUGAUUGCAUUGCGAUUUUAUCCGGUUCGUCGGACGUGAACAUCACUGGGAUAACAUGUGGGCCUGGGCACGGCAUCAGGUGUGUCUAAAUGUUCUACCAUCCUAGUGGAUCAGGAUCUAAUGAUCCUCAACCUUUAGAUAUAUUCGCAACAUGUGCAGUGCAGAUCCCCCAGUUUUUCAGUUAAGAAGGCUCAAGCUAAGCCUUUAACUAGUGUUUCAUAGCAGAUUGAUUGAUAAAAAAAUAAACCCCGAGUCAUAAACUUUGUGAAAUUAUUCAAGGAAAUUGUUGAUUAAUGAUAAAUUUGUGCGCGAUUAAUAUAAUGAACAGCGUAGGGAGUCUGGGGGGGCGUGGUGAGACAGCCAAGGUAGAGCGAAUCCAUGUCUCCUACUGCAACAUUUUUCAGGCUUUGACUGGUGCAAGAAUCAAAACAUGGCAGGUAAAUUUAUGAGCCUCUCUUUCACUAUCAAUUUUGUACUCUGUAUGUGCUUAUCAUAGCAAUAACUAAUGUAUGUAAGUGCCUUUUAUUUUGUGUGUGAAGGGAGGAGCAGGAUAUGCAAAGGAGAUCACUUUUAAGAACAUCAACAUGUCCUCUGUUCAGACUCCCAUCGAUAUUGACCAGAACUACUGCCCUUCAGGAAAUUGCCCCCAAAAGGUAAGCCCCCGAUGCAUAUCGGUGUACACAUUCAUCACUACUUUAAGAUUCAUGCGUUGUAUGCGAUGAACGAAUGAGAAGACUAUGAUUGAUAAGGCAUAAAACUGAAAACAUACAUAAAUAGCCGGGAGCGGUGGCGAUAAGCAAUGUGGAAUUCAUGGACAUACACGGGACGUCAGCAGACGAGGUCGCCGUAAAACUCGAUUGCAGCGACAGCGUUCCGUGCAGGGAACUCCUUUUCGGCGGCAUUUUGCUCACCUGGGAGGGGAAGUCGGCGCCGGCGAAAGCCACCGCCGUCAAUGCCUAUGGCAAAACUGUUGGGAUGGUUACACCCCCAAUUUCCCUCAAAUAGCAAAGUUGUGGGAAUGAUUCUUUUUAUGUUCUCCCUUUUUAUGGUUGAAAUUGAUUUAGUUUUGAUAACUUAGAAAAUUUGUCACUCUCUAGGUGAAAAAAAACAAAUGAAAGAGGGGAAGAGUAGUUUUAGUGGAAACAUAGCCUGCAAAUAAUUAAUUUGGAGUGGCAUGAAAAUGUACUGUUGAUGGUUGUGAAUUUACAUUCCAGCAGAUAUUUCGCAUUGAUGCCACAGAUCACAGAUGUUAAUCCAGCCAUUAAACUUAACAAUUUUUCAUGAGAAUUCAUAUGUAAUCUUAUGCAAAAAAAUAAAAAUGCAACACUUCAAGUAGAUUCAUAGAAAGGUUUUGGAAAAUCUCAAACUUGGCAAACAUGAUGCUCACUACAGAGGCAACAGCUAACCUAGAAGCACACUGAUAUACCAUGUAUCAUCUCGAGUGUUGCGGCACAAAAUUAACCAUAUAAAUAAAGCCAAAAGAGAUGCGGAAAAAGGAAAAGAGCUGAAUUUUAGCUUUGCUCCUCACUGUCGGCAGCGUCCCUUUCUUCUGCAGCAGCAGCCAUCAAUUCGUCAAACUUCUCCGUCUUUCCCAGCAAUAUCUCGAUCUACGAAUUAGUCCCAAGUUUAGUACAUGCGAAAUUUGACCACCAUCUAUCUUUCUUACCAAAUAUAAGAAGAAAGACGAGGAAAAUAUAAGGGUAAAUGGUGUAAAAUAGUUAUGCAAUCAGAUCUAACCUUUGCUUUCUGGAUCGGACGACCUCUUGAUUCGUCUUUCAUAUCAACGGUAGAUGUCAUGAUCUCUACCCAAAAUUCAAGAAGGGUAUAGUUAGAGAAGAAUUUUGACCUUUGAUUAAGAAAAAGGAGUUGCAUAUAUUUUGCACAAAAGAUAGUGCAAUAAAUUAACAGAAGAGACUGGAGAAGCAAGAAGUGUACUCUUCUCGACCGCAAGGCCAUUGUUUUUGAGAAUCUCGGCAACGGUUACGACAGUAGCAAUUGCUGAAAAAUUGAAUACGAGAAACUUAGUUAAGUGCAAACAAACAAGGCAAUAGAAGAAGUAACAGGCAUUCGAACAAUUCUAAUCAACAGCAUAUACAGUUCAAUUUAAAGAACCAAUCUUGAGCACAACUGUACCAAUAGCAGUUGAAAUCUGAAUUAAAGUACAUUCGAAUUGUACAAUACAUCAAUAACUAGCCUCAGAAUAGUCAUAAUCAAACUAUAUGAAAACUUGAAGAGCGCUGCUAAAGAGAUCCAAAGCAUAUCUAUCCAUACUAACUUCGUGGAAUAAAAUACCUUGAAAACCGGCCUCAGCAUAAUAAGAUACUAUGAUACUUUUAUACGCUUCGUGGAAUCAAAUAGAUAAGUAACAUUAGAUCCACAGUUUUGAUAACUAAUCUCAAAAUAUUCAUAACAAAAUGAGGACCGAAAUAGGUUGGACUUCGUAUUUACACAAACUUAGUUUAUCACACAGCUCUGCAUGACGAUUUAGCACGCACGCACGCACGCACGCACACACGGCACACAGAUUGCACAAAUUAUUAUUAUUUUUUCACUGUCCACAUACAGUUAAAGAAUAAGAGGCUUUUGCAGAUGUUCCUCACUAGGUCGAUCAUGUUACUUAAAGUACCAAACUAUUCUCUUAAGUGCUCAACAAAGUUAUGAUUUUCACAACUAUUCUAGCAUGAUGUUGCAAGUAGUCGGUGAAAUAGGAAGGAGAGGAGUUAGCCAAUGAAUAAUUGAUAGCAGGGCCGCAUAAGUAUGAAAAAGAUAGAAUAUAUUAAAUUAGAAAGUACUUGCAUUAUUGAUGGUUAUACAUGAGAAUGUUGAAAAACUAAUUAGGCUUUAUAAAAUCCCCAUCAAUGUUAUAUCCCAAUAAACAUUCAUUUAUAACUAAUUACAGAGGCCACAAGAUCAAAAUAAAAAGACAUGGAGAAGUGUAAGAAACAAUACCCAUUCCGAGAGCCGAAAGCUCCACUUCAUUAUGCUGCUGCAUAUACCUCUGCAUCCACAAUUAAAUUCAUCAGCCAAAAAAGGUUACAAUAGAUUUAAAAAAAAGAAGAAAAACACAAGAAAUUACAAACCUAUUCUCAUCUAACUAAAACACAUAAGAUCAUAGUAAAAAUAUGAACUUUACAUGUCAGAAACAAUAAAGGAAAGAAUAAAACCAUUAAGAUCCAUACUUUAAACUUCAAAAUACAAAUACUACAAACAUCACAACAGAAUAUAAACAAAUCAAGCAUCCCGAAAAGGAAACACCGCAACAACAAAAGUAGAUCAAAACUACUACCAAAAGCUACGGGAAAAACACCAAAAAGAGCUUCCUUCCCCCCAACCUUGCCAAAAAAAAAAAAGGAAAAAACUACACGGGGAUGAUACUGAGAAAGGAGCCUUUUGUUUUACCUUGGCGAGGUUGACGUAGAAGAAGAGCGGCUUCUUAGUGUUGGAGACCUGGAUCCGGUUCUUCUUGUGGGGCUCGGCGACGCUGAGGUUGUUCACUCCCUCGGUGAUCUCCUCCAUGGCAAACGAUCGCACCACGAGAACCAAAAACUCUUAACCCUAACCCUAGUUUCGCCCCAGGAGAAGCAGCUAAAGCCUAAAAAGACCUUUUUAAGGCGUUGAAUUAAAAUUGGGAUUUUUUCUUUUUUUUUUUUUUUUGGCUUCUUUUCUCUGGGGAAGGAAUUGUCAUAAAUAUCGAGGGUUAGGGUGUAAAAGUGGUCAGCUAAUAAUAGCCGUCCGAUCCGAAUUCGAGUUAGAUUUCGGUGGAAUCCGAUUUUAGUUUAGUAUAUACACAAUACAUGAAAAUACGAUUUUUUUUAAUUAAAAAAUACUUCAUCUUAAUUUAUCUACAGGAUUUUUGUAAAACUCACUCAUUUAUCUGGUCUAAUUCUACGGUUUUAUACAUACGUAUACAAAAAUUAAUGUACACUGUAGUUACUUAAAUUAUGCCCAUGUGGUGCCUCUGAUUUGAAUAAUCUAUAUGUUUAUUUGGAUAUUGUAUAUAUCUUUAUCAUGUACGUAUUCAAAUUUGUAUUCGAAUAGGUAUGUAUAUAUAUACUCACUAUCUAUUUUGGAAUGGUAAUGGGCCGGUAUAGGCCCAAAGCCCAUUGAACAAGUUCUAUAACGUGAAAUAAGCUUUGCACGUAAUGGGCCUAGCUGGGCCCUUUAUUGCCAUUCCCAUCACAAUAUGAUCGAAGAGCUUCCGCGUAUGGCUCAUUUAAUUAAACAUUUUUAUUUGAAAAACUUCAAAUACCACAUCGGUUGUUUCAUCCUUUUUCAUUUUAAUAUCCUAUGAUUUAAAGUGUAUCAAUUUAGUGUCAUGUGAUUUCAUUUUUAUCUUUUUAUUAUCGAUUCCAAAAAUUUUUUUGGUUAAAUCAGUUACAAAAUUAAAACUAAAGGGUAUUAAAGUGAAUAUUCGAUAAAUCUAGAUGAACUAUAUGAAGUUUUUUACAUAUAAUUUAAUAAAAUAUUAAUAAAAAAAAUUGAUGAAAAGAUAAAAAUGAAACAACAAGACACUAACUUGAUACACUUUAAACCACAGGAUAUGAGAUAUUUGAAGUGAAAAAGUGUGAAAGUGUAAAACUGCAGGAGUGGUAUUUGAAGUUUACCUUUUUAUUUUGUGUAGGAGGGUAAGAACAAAAUUCAUCUUUAAAGCUACUGCAAAUGAAAUUAUCAUAUUGUCACUGAUUAUAUUUUUAUCAUCUUACAUGACACAAUAAAAUUAAUCAAAAUUAAUUUUAUUGUUUAAAAUAACUUAUUAUUUAAAAUGUCAUAUCAUACAAUAAAAAUAUUUAAAGUCUUAAAGCAAAAAUAUUUCAUAAUUAGAAGAUACGUAAUAAAAAAUUAGGAUUAAAAUUUUUAGGAUGGAUAAAUAAAAAAAUAUAUAUAUUAAUUAAGAAAAUAUAUUUUGUAAUUAAAAAGUAUAUGUGUGGGUACUUGUGGGUACCCGCGGAUUACCCAAAAUGUUUACAGAGUAACGGGUAUCCACCCGUUUUAUCCGUAAUUUUUUGAGUUAAAAAAGUUGAUACUCAUAUUCAUAAAUUUGUAAAUAACUCGUCAGCAUUCGCGGGUUUGGAUGGAGAUUGCCAGGUCUAAACACGGGGCCAUGCAGUUGCCGACAGGCUUAUUGAAUUCCCCCUUCUUUGUGUCGGGUUGUGUUGUGUGGAUAAGCACCAUUCAUAAAUGCAGUGAUGCCCACUUAAUUUAGUUGCUUGUCAAAUUCUUUCGCCAAUUUGAUUCCAAAUUUUGCCCAUUUAAUGGUUAUAUUCAUAUUAUGCUUUUGAUAAUAAUGGUUCGAAUUUUAUAAUUUUACGGUGUGGCAUUAUGAUUUUCAAUAAGAAAAUGAACGGCGAGAAAGAUACAAUUUGGUAAGAAUAUCAGUCUCCUAUUUGAUAAAACUUAAAAUUCCAAUCCAUAUUAAUGUGAAUGAUUUUUUUUUUUAUUUUCAAUCUAUCAACUUAAGCUUUCUUGAUGGUAUUAAUGACCUCUCAUUAUAUGAUUAUAGGUUUAAUCCUACAAUUUGGUACCCCCCACUAAUUUGGUGAAAUGAUUCUAAAAGAAUUUAGUCCUCAUGUUCAAAAAUGUCCCAACCAAAGAAACUCUUGGUGAUAAAUAAUUGAGAGCUUUUAACAAAGGAGGGUAACAAUCAACCCAAAUCCACCUCAAAAAAUAGCAUAAUAUUUUGGAUUCAUAAAAGUCUUAACUUAGAGCAGGAAUGUGGUUUCAACUUUUGACCGACCGUUCUUAGAGCAAGUGGCAAAGGACAUGGUGGUUGGUACUCGAGAUCCCAAGUUCGAAUCCUAGUUGAUUCAUGUUUUCAGCUAAAUUUAUUUUUAAAUAAAAUAAAAGAAGCGGGUAGUAUGCUAUCUUCCUCUUAAAAAAAAAAAAAAAAAACUUUUGCCCAAUUAGGAGCCCCACAAAAUGGACAUGAAACAACCACUUGGUGUGUGAUAGAUUUAAGUGGGAACCACCAAACAUCUUGAAAGGUUGGCCCACAAAAUAUGCUGUAACUAAAAUUGCUGCUUCUUCCAGCAUCUUCUUUAUGAUGAUAGAUUACCACAAAUCUGAAACUACCAGAAAGUCAAUGGAAGGUUACUCUCCAUACAUUACAAUAUUAGUGCUUAUCCAACAACUGUUACAAGUCACAUCACUAAACUAGUUUUCUUAUAUAUUGCAGAUGUGUUAGCAUACAUUUAUUCUAUUUUAAACCACGCGUAUAAAUUGUUCAAAAAAAUUGUAAAACAUAUUAACAAAUUAUAAAUCUAGCAACUUGUGGGAUUCUUACAUAAGCUCCAAACAAGAGGCAAGAUGCUGAAUACAAGCAAAAAAGACAUCAUUCUUUAACUAAUUUGAGCUUUUAUUUGAGUUUUUAAAGUAAUAAGUUAUUUUCACACAAUGCAUAAUAAACCACUAGAUGCUAUUGCUGAGAUCACUAUCCAACACUCAUAGUAGACAAACAAUAUAGAAUUCUCUAGAUUGAGAGAAGGUCAUUACAUAGAUAGGGAUUCCCAAUAUAUAUAACUAAUUUGAAAACAUAUAUAAACACAAUUAUUUGUUAUUAAUUUUAAUAAAAACCACAGACCAAACAAUUUCCCAUGAUAUUAGCAUCCCAUCAUCAUUACAUAGCAUCACUCCAUUGAAAUCAAUGAUAGAAUAUAACUCCUAUCAAUUAUUGAAUAGCAAACCCUAGAACAGUACAUCUAACUAACCUGCCUUGUUAGUGCAUCAUGUGCAAUGCUGGGAGAUGUUCACAUUUUAUAUAUAUAUAUAUUUAUUUAUUUUAGUGUGACAGUUAAAACAUAGACCUGUAAUCAAAGCAUCAUGUGCAUUUCUGAGAGAUCACAGUUAUUAUAUUACCUAGGAAUUGUAUGAAUAUGCUUAUAUUAAAACAAUAAUAACUCACCAAAAAUCAUGUGGAUCACCUUACCCUCAGUCAAACAUUCAAAACAUAGACCACAUUCCAAAGGAGACAAGAUUCAAUGAAGCAUCUGAACAUGGCUCUAAAUCAUGUAGAGUAGAAGAAAAAUAUUAAAAAAAAAAAAAGGCAAGAGCCAAAUAUAAUUAAAAAGAAAAGAACCCAAGAGAGAGGAUUUGACAUCUUUGAUAAGAUUAAUAGAAGUACUAACUAAUUAAUCUUUGAUACUUAAUCAUAAUUUAUAGGCAUCAAAGAUCCACACAUACACAUAGUUUUGCAAAUAUAACCUCAAUCUCAAACCAUCUUUUAUCUUCUUCUCUUUUUGCCCCUCUUUUAUGACUCAUCUCAAGCCAUGCACGCAUGAUGAUCAGGAAAAACAGGAGAAAUUGGUGAAUUAAAAUACAAACAAGGCUAAUGCUUUCUAGGCUUAGAAGGCUUUUCAUUGCUGGGUUUUCUGAAUAUGCUACAGAGAAUGCACCCAGAUACCUUUGGAGACGGCGGGUCGACAGCAGGCGGAAUAUCUGCAGUGCGAAAAGCUGCCGGUUGUUUCCCGUCUUUCUUGCCGCCGCCCCUCUCCCUGGCAGCAGGACAAGCAGUCUUCGCUCCAUCUUCACGGCUGCGGUCCAGCAUGGCAAUGGACCCAACACUUCUGGAGUGCCUCAGCUCCCUGAAUUCUGGUUUUUCUUUCUCCCCAUCCUCCUUUUCAUUACUUUGAUUUGGGUCCCCAGAGAGGAACUUCUCAUCCCAAACUAGCCCUGAUGAGCCUGAUCUUCUGAAGGUUUGUGCAGAUCUCUGUAGCCCAGCCAUGUCUCUCUCUCUCUCUCUCUCUCUCUCUAGAGUUUUAUGAGACAAAAGAGAGAAUAUAAGAAGAGUAUAGCACUUGGAUUAGUCUUGUGACAUAUAAAAAGGAUAGGAAAGGGAUGGGAAAUAUAUAGAGGAGAGGAGAGAACAGUCAAGAGAUGGGUUAUAUGGGAGUUAUGAAAGAGGAGAGAGAAAGAGAUGGGUGGCUCAUAAUACAAUAUAUAAUUAGGAUAAUUAAUACAUCAAUUUGUAAUUAAAUUUAUAGUGUGACUAAGUUUGUUUUGUCCCUUUAUGCAGGUUAUACUUAUUAGAUUGCUUUUAAACGUAAAUAACAAUGUUGUUAAGACUAAAUAAUUGACUAAAUAUUAGCUCAAACAUUUGACCAAUCAAGAUAGUAUAAAUCAGAAAUAAUCAGCGAAAUGCUAAGUUGAAAUUUUAAGCCUCAAAAGUAUGAGAUUCAAUUUUGCAGUACUCAUUGUUUGUAGGAAAAACCUGCUAGGAAUAUUAUUAGCAUACAAUUCUUAAUUUAAAAGAGUAUUUAAAAGUACUUCAUCAAAAAGCACUUAGAACCUAUAGCAAAAGGUGACAGGCCUUUAAGCAGCGGGAAACUAUUUUCUACAUGUGUUCAUAACUUCUAUCAUUUCACCAUGGUGCAAUAUUAUGCAGCCGCAUUUAAAUUAAAAAAUCAUUAAUAAACAAUAAAAAGAUGGUCCACGGAGACUAAAGUUGAGUAACUAAUAAGACAUCAAUUAAUAGUAAUAAGUUUACGCAACCACUUUGACUUCGACCAUAUGAAGUUGCAAUCACAAAAAGAAAAACCAUGCAACAAGAAGCAUAUUCAAACAGCAGAAAUUCAAAUCCUGUUCUAUGGUUUAGUUUCCAAUACUAUGCAAUCGACUGAAAUUUAAACAGAAUUGUCAAAAUUUAUAUAGAAUCAUCUCUGUGACUACAUAAUUAAAAUCAAGUCCAGCUCUAAACGUUGAGAUAGAUAUGGUUUAGUUUCCAAUACUAUGCAAUCGACUGAAAUUUAAACAGAAUUGUCAAAAUUUAUAUAGAAUCAUCUCUGUGACUACAUAAUUAAAAUCAAGUCCAGUUCUAAACGUUGAGAUAGACGAUUUUGGUUGAACACUUCGACAGCGAUGGCUAAAUUUAACACCAGCAAAUUAUCACAAACAAAAUUUUUACCCUGUAAUUUGCAUUAAUAGCCAAUGCCAAGCUCAGAUAACUUGGUAAAAAGAUCCUUGACUAGACAACUAUACAUCAAAUUAAGGGUACAUUACAAAAUUAAGGAAAGCAUGGAAAUUCCCCAAUACAAACCAUUUUAUUCUUCAAGCAAAAAUUUCUUGAUAUAAACUAAUGAUACAAACGUGAAAAAUACAAAGAUCUCAAAUUCAUAGAGUUAGGCACAUCAAUUAUUUACCAGUUUGAGAAUCUAUACCUCCCCAGUAACAAAAAAUAGAAAAAAAAAAAAGAAAAAAAAAAAGAAAGAAAAGGGAAAAGAAACAGCGGCUAUAGAUGCAACAUGAAAUCACUUAGAUCAAUUCAUUCCGACAAGAACCAUAUCGAUCUGUUGACGUGCGAACAUAUUCAUAAAUUGGAGACCGAAUUCACCUUUUUUGGCAGAAUCUCGUGGUAACCUGGAUCGCCCUCAUGAACCCAUGUAGAGAUAAGAUGGUGGGCGAUGGCAAAAGGCCCAGGAAUAAACAUCUGGGCGAGCUCACCGCUCUCCACAUUGAAGUCCGAGGAAGGAAAGUUUUGACCUUUCUCAACACCUUUGCACAUCUGAUUGACCUUAAAGGCGGCAGUUCUCUGCGCUUUCUCAUAUUCUGCGAAUGUCAGUGCUUUCUUCACAUCCUCUCUACUGUGCCAUUCGGCAUCUGAAAAUUAGAGGAAUGAAUUGUUUAAGAGGAUGAGCUGAUGCAGAACUUACUCCAAUAUAUUUGAAGGGUGUUUAUCAAUAUGGACCAAUGUAAAAUUAGAAACAUGAAUAAGAAGACAUGGAACAUAUGCUAGUAUCAUUUUAUAAUACCAUAUUAAGAAAAGUUAAAAAUUUCAAACAACCAUAUUUUAUUUUAUUAAACAAAUAAAUCAGACAAAUCAAUAAUGCAUUACUUAUGAUUAUUAGUUAAAAAGUACCUUCCAGCUCCUCCUUGUCCACACGAAUUUCAAAUGAUGUAGCAUAUGCAAAGAAGCCCACCAUCAACUGGCAUGGCAUACUGUUUGGCCCCACUGAAAAUAAUCAUAUAUCAAACAUCAAUCACCAUGAUGCAAUUCUUAUUGUUUUCUAAAUCGAUAAUUAGAUGAACACAUAAAUAGCCAGUAGGUAGCCAGUAAGGCAUAUAUUUAGCCCAUUCAGCAUUUAGUUGGUAUCAGGUUAACUUGGGCUGCAAAAUAAUUUGUAAAUGAUCCCACAUAUAAUUGAUCACUGUUAGCAACUCACAAGAACAAACUGAAUCCAAAGAAAUGGUGCAACUAUAGAAAACAUACAUCACAUUUCCAACAUAAAUAAAAUGAAAUCAUUAAGCCUAAGUUGAUACCAGGCCAUGGCUGCGAACUAUGAUAUACAACUUCGCCAACUUCGAUACCAGUCUCUUCCCACGUUUCUCUUCUCACUGCCUCUUCUAAGCUUUCCCCUGGCUAAGAACAGAGAUUUUCAGUCAAUAAAAUCUUCAUGAAAUGCUGUACAAAUCGAAAUAACGAUUUUUCAGACAUCAACUAGUCCUUUUGUCAGAAAAAACUUCUUUGGGCCAGAUCAAGCAAUUUUCAACUUGCAAAAUGUACCGUCCAACAGCAUUAUAUUGUUUAAUAACAGUCACAAAGCGCAAUUUAGUAUAGCUUUUAAGAACAGACAUGUUCUUUCAUGUAUUAAACCACAGGUCACGUAUUCCUUAGAUCGUACGUAAAUCUUAAUGCAAAACUUUUCACAAAGAAAUAUUGGAAUUUGCUUCUAAAUGUUUGCCUCCACGAGAACUAAAAGAUUGAAACAACAUUUAGACUAGCAUAACGGGGUCAGAAUCUUGUGCAAUAAAAGAGGUGUAAUUUAGUAAAAUAAGAAUAUUUAGUGAAGUUCAGCAGGAGAAUUCCAGUACCUCGAUGAAACCAGCAAGGCAACUCCACAUACGUGGUACAAAUCUUGAUUGGCGGCUCAAAAGUGCACGAUCAUUUGCUUUAUCAAUAACCAACAUAAUCACAACCUGUUAAACAUCAAAAGACACAUUUAGUUAUUAAAGUGACCAAAUCCCUCAGUUCCAUGAAGCACAACAAUAUAGAGCAAACAUUUCAAUUUUAGUUCCUAGUUCCACCGAGAUUCAAGUCUACAUAUUGCAACUCAUAAUUUAAGCAGGGAUAAAACAUACAGGAUCAACUCGAGGGUAUACUCUCUUCUUGCAGGUCUCAUCUGUGCAUUGCUUCCGUCUCCCUGCACCAAUAGGAACUGUCCUGGAUCCGCAGUUUCCACAGAACCGCGAAAUACGGUGCCAUUCUAGUAAUGCCCUGGCCUGUUCAAAGGCAAAUCAAUCAGAUAAAAUCUCUAUUUUGCAUUACUGAAUAAAGCAUAGACAAAGAACAGUUUAGUCCAAACUUGCUGUUUCAUAGAUGGUACUUGGAAUAACAAAAAUAAGAAAUUAAUGGACUCAAAUAUACAGCCACAAAAUAAAACAUGCACAUGUGAUCAAUAAUAUAAUGAAGAAGAAGAAGAAGAAGAAGAAGAAGAGCACAUACAUGGCCAGCAAUGGCUAACUCCCCCAUGGUGCCGAUGUCGGCCCAAUCAGUGGCGACCAUCAGAGUUCUCAGCUCGACGAAGCACAAUCCAUCCCUCUCCCCACCCAAUUCGACACCCCGCGAUUCAGAAACAUCAAUAGCCCAAUAAACCGCGUCCUCCUCCUCUCCCGACCCCGAACCUGAACCGGACCCCAAAUACACGAACGAAUCGGCAGAGAAACCCUUGAAUUCGGACGGCGAAACCCACCCGAGGUGCCACUUCGGCGCCGAAUCCGGAGCCGAAUCCACCGAUCGCGCCAAAGGCCGGCCCUUUCUGAAGGGUAGCACCUUGAGAUUGAGACCAGGGGAAGGGGCCUCACACUCCUCUCCGGCGACGAGGAGGGAUCUGAGGGCGUCCAGGGCGGCGCCGCCGUCGCCGCCGCCGCCGUCGGGUUUGGCGUGGAGAGUCUUUAGAGGGUUUCCGGCAAAGGCAUGGGCGUGGAGAUGGAUGGACAUGGUGGUGAGAACGGAGAUAGGGUUUCCUCCUCUUCUUCAAACCUGUGUUAGAGUUAGUGUUGGGGUUAGGGUUAGGGUUAGGGUUAGGGUUUAGCCGCCAUUGUCGACGCCGUAGCGUGUGGGAUUUGGGAGGGAGACGAAGAAGAGAGAGAGAGAGAGAGAGAGAGAGAGAGAGGAUACGAAGAGUGGGUGAAGUGAAGGCGCUCAGAGUGUGCCACGUUGGUCUGUUUGGGGGAAAUUGCAACGUAGUCCUUAAUUCAUGGUAUUAUAAUUAAUUAGUAUCUAAAUUGUCACGUAACUACAUCAGCAUUUCAAUUGUGUUUCGAUAGAAAUGCAAGAAGAUCCUUUAAAUAUUAUCUUUUCUUGACAUUUUUAUAAAUGUCUAGUUAUUUUGAUUUUAAUUAGCUUAAUUAAUCAAAUUAUAAAUUUUAAUAUAAUUAAUAAAAGAAAAGAUAUAACCCGAAACGCCCCAAAGAGAAACACCAUUUAACAAAUAAAUUUUAGAAUAAUCCUGAGUAUGAUUCACGGAUCGCAAAAUAAAAUUUGUUCUGAUCAAAUCCAACCCGAUUCAUUACAAAUCAAAAUCGAGUCAAAUAAUUUUUGCUUAGAUCUAUUCGGUAGUACUUUGUAAAAACCAAAAUAAUUAAUGUACUAAAAACUUGUUUGGCCUAGCAGCAGCACUUGUCUUAAAAUGUAAAAUUAUAUGAUUGCGUGUGAAACCACAUGCACAAUUAUACAUUUCAAAAGAGCCACUACAAUUAUGCGCCAAAAAAGUCUUGGACAAUACAGCAGCUAAACAUCUACUAAAUCUUUUAUUAAAUCAAGAGAUACACAUAAAAUAUUUUUUGUGACCACUGUUUUUGCUCUUUUUUAAGCAAAAUUUACGUGUCUGAUCAAAAAUCAAGCAACUAAUAUGUGCAUGGUAUUAGUGAAAGGUCUAGAAAACAUAAUAAAGGGAAAAAAUUUAUAAAAAAGAACUAGGGAAUAGGCAAAAUUAGUCAUUUAUUGCUUCGUAUAUGACUGCUAUUACAUAUUUAUCAUAUCACGUGUACCAUAUACGAGAAUAUUAUGUCAUCACAUCUCCCUCGUGGCCAUUCUCAUCUCUUGUGGCCCAAAUCACUUUCAGGUUUCUUUACCUGCCACUGAAAAAAAAUUUCUCAACUAAUUAAGACAAAAAAAAAUAAUAAUAAUAAGAGAAAUUUGAAAAAAUUUUAAGUUUCUUUCAAAUCAAAUUCCAAUAAGAAAACAACAUUUACCAGGUUCGCGAGGUGCAUUGCAUCCGAAGCACUCCGUCCUGCUAGCGAAGUUGUGUUUGUUGCAACCCGGCCUGCGAAAACACAGAGACGGAUUAGUGACACUAAUAAGUGGAUCAUAUCGCGUCGAUCACUACAGAAUUGUUUAGUGGCACAUUCUUUUAGAAAAUUUUAGUUAGCUCAUAGUGUUAACAACCUAAAAAAUUGCUUGUAAUUAGUUACCUUAACAUAUGCACUGUGAGACUACUACACCUCAAAAAACAAAAUAAAAAUAAAACAACGAGGAAAAUAUAUAUAUAUAUAUAUAUAUAUAUAGAGAGAGAGAGAGAGAGAGAGAGAGAGAGAGAGAGAGAGAGAGGCUGGAAUACUAUUGAUAGGAAAAGACACUUUUUGCUAGCAACUUUUUAAUUCUUGGAUGAGAAAUUGUAGGAUUAGGAUAAUAUUAGUCCCUUAGGGUUGAGUAAUUUUCACUGGGUUAUAAUAUUUAAUCUAAUAAUUAGAAACGAUGAAAGAAAUUAAUUUAAAAACUAAAAACUUGAUAGCAAAAAAAUUUUUUUACUAUCAAUAAUAUUCUAACCCAACUCUCUCUCUCUCUCUCUCUCUAUAGAGACAGAGAGAGAGAGAGAGAGAGUCCGGCUAUAGUACUUGUAAAAGCACAAAGCACUUAGUGCUUAUAAAUUUUUUACCGUCAGAUAUACGUCUUUCAUCAUUUUUACCCGUUAGAUUAUACUAUUCAACCAACCACCCACUCAAUCCUAGGGGGCCCACAUCAUCCUAACCGCACAUCUCUUAAUUUAAGGGUCGAAAACUUACAAAUACCAAUGACUUGAUUUUUUAAAAGUAUAGAGGUUCGAUUAUAUAUAUAUAUAUAUAUAUAUAUAUAUAUAUAUAUAUAUAGAGUGAGGUUACUAUGCUAUCGGAAGCACGGAGCCUUCCGUGCUUCCAACUCGUUUUCGAUGUUGCGACUUUCGAAUCGUCGAUCGGCUCCGUUAAACUUGAUCUAGAGUAUUUGAAGUACCUAGAAAAUAAAUUUUAUGAUUUUACGAUAUCAUUUGCCUAGUGAACGAAGGGGCUCAAAAUCAACGGCUGAAAAUAAAAAUCUUACAAAAUGUAAUAAUAUGACAUUAAAAUUUUAAAUCAAAGAUAUUGAUCUUGUUUUAUAUAGUAUAAAGAAUUUUCUAUCAAAAUUUCAC
rnacentral:lncRNA from 1 species